rnacentral:lncRNA from 1 species
UUUUUUUAUUUUUUUUACAGUUUAAAUUUUUUAUAAAACAAUUUUAAGUGAUAUGAAAGUGUAAAUUAAAAUUCAAGAAAUCUUUUAAUACUGGCCAUCACAAUGAUAUAGUGAUGUGAAGCACAAGCGUUAGUGGUGUGAGUUCUAUAAUCAAAUCAGGAAUUGAUGGUGUGAGUUCCAUAGUCAAAUCAAGGGUGUUGAUGUCCCAUUAUCUUCAAACAUCAGUUCAUUACAGAGAGUCUAAAUUUCAGUAUUCUAACAAGCUAAAUCCCAGAGUUCUCAAACUUUCAUCUUCAAUGGUCUGUCUUGAACUAAAGUUAGUAGCCUGUAACAGGAAUAAUGGUUAUUGAACUAUUUAAAAUUUUUUUCUACUUAUAAGAAUGUACAAAUCUCCAUAGCUUAAUAUUCAUUUUCUCUCGUAGCUUCUUGUAUAAUGUACAAAUCAUAAAAUAGUUAUUGAAUUAUUCAAAAAUUUUCACUUAAAUUAAUUAUAAUUUUGUAGUCUUUUAAAAUUAAUUGAGCGAAAUAUAGCGUAAUUUACUUUUCCUUAUUUAAAUUUAGUAAAACAACCAUUUAAAUUCAAGUAACUUAACAUAAACAAAUCAAAUUUCAUGUAAUCUCAUAAGAUUUAAUUUUUUAAUGAUAUAUAUGUUUUGAUCUCAUUUGCUGAUAUGUAAUUUGAUCUAUAGUAUCGAUUUUGACAAAUUUAACUAUAAAUAGAGAGUCCGCAUCGAUUUUGACAUUUAGCCUUAAAUUUUUGUAUAUCUAGCCGCUUCUACGAAAGCAAAGAUCUUUCUCUUCCUUCCUUCUACUCUAGCCGAUAUUGUAAUUUAAUCUAUAGUGUCGAUUUUAACAAAUUUAACUAUAAAUAGAGAGUCCGCACCGUUUUUGACAUUUAACCCUAAAUUUUUGUAUAUCUAGCCGCUUCUACGAAAGCAAAUGCCUUUCUCUUCCUUCGUUCUACUCUCACCGCCACCCACGACCGCUGUCAGCCUUCUCAGCUCAGCUUCCCGGACCUCCUCUCUAUUCUUAAGUUUCCAAAGUUUGCUCCGAAGCCAAACAUAAGCUAGUGAAGCCGAACCACAAAACAAAAGCAAAAAACUCUCCGGUUCCUAUCGCCAGCCGUCGGACAGGUCUGUAGUUUUCUUAUCUUAUGGCGAUGUGUGCCGAAGACAGAAUCAGUAGUUUUCCGGAUCAUAUUCUUUGUCAUAUUUUGUCAUUCCUUCCCAUUAAAGAAGCAGUUCGAACCUCUAUUAUUUCAACCAAGUGGAGAUGCCUCUUUUCUUCCAUUUCUACCAUUGAAUUUGAUCAUUGUUUACUGAGUGGUUUGACUGACAGAAAUGUUGACAGCUUCAAGAACUUUGUUGAUAGGUUAUUGAAAUUCCCCGAUCAAGUAAGUUUAGAUUGCUUUAGGCUAACUGAUGGGAUUUCUUCAUGGAAUGAUGAAGAUCAUGAUUUUGAUGUUUCUGGUUGGAUAUGUGCCGCACUGUGCCGUGGUGUUAAGGAAAUUGAUUUGCAAUUAGAUAAUCUUGGGGAUGCUCCAUCUGUUUUAUUCACUUGCCAUUCACUGGUGAAACUGACAUUGUGAUGAAGUUGGUUCAGCAUGCAGCAAACUCGACAGCAUGCAGGCCAUGAAGACCAAUACAUGCAGGAGCUGCUGAUGCAAGCUUAUUUUAUUUAUUUUGUAAUUUCUAGUAAAUGAAAUGUAAUCUUAGUUCAUUUCUAACUAAGUUAGGUUGUUGACUGAUGUAAUUAGCUUAUGUAUGAGCUGUAAACACAACUUUGUAUAGGUUUACAAGCUAAAUUUCAAGUUUCCAUGUAAUUAGUGGGAGUAGGUGAUGUUUAGGUAAUUAUUUGCUGUUUUUGACAAGCUUAGUGCUUGGUUUAUGUAUUGGCAUUAUGCCAUUAUUCAAUUUUAUGAAUGAAGUUCAGUUUGUUCAUCAAUUUUUCUCUUCAUUUCUCUUAGCUUUUCUUCCUUUCUCUUGCUCGAAUUCUCUUGUUUGCUCAGCAAGUCUCGAGACUUGCUCGACAAGUCUGUAAUGAAUCUGUUAGUUUCAGUUACAGCACCAACAAUUGGUAUCUAGAGCCUAUUUCUUAAGGGAUCUGUUAUACAAAUACAUGGCUUCAUCAAGCUUUUCACCAGCUGCACCUCAAGUCUUCAAUGGAGAAGGCUAUCACAUAUGGGUGGUCAAAAUGAAGACCUACCUGCAGGCAUACGAUCUGUGGGAGGUGGUCAACUUAGAUGUUGAACCAGAACCACUUAGAGGCAAUCCAACAGUGGCUCAGAUCAGGCAGCAUGCUGAUGAGAGGACCAAGAGGCACAAAGCCAUGUCUUGCAUCCAGAAUUCAGUGUCUGAUGUGAUUUUCACAAGGAUUAUGGCCUGUGAAUCACCAAAACAGGCCUGGGACAAGUUGCAGGAAGAGUUUCAAAGGACAGAGAGGACAAGGCAGCAACAGUUGUUAAACUUGAGGAGAGAUUUCGAGAAUUUAAAGAUGAAGGAAGAAGAAACUGUCAAGCAAUAUUCUGACAGGAUUAUGGCUGUGGUUAACAGCAUCAGGCUCCUUGGAGAGCAGUUCAAUGAAGCUAGGAUAGUGGAGAAGGUUAUAGCAACUCUGCCUGAGAGGUAUGAGGCAAAAAUCUCAUCUUUCGAGGACUCAAGGGAUCUGUCCACCAUCUCCCUGACAGAGUUGAUCAAUGCUCUAUAUGCUCAAGAGCAGAGGAGAGCAAGCAGACUGGAGGAGCACCAAGAAGGUGCCUUUCAGGCAAGAACAAAUACUGCCUACAAAGGCAAGAAGGCCUGGAGAGACAAACCAAAGAAUGAUGCUGCAAGGAGAGAAGGUCAGACUUGCAAGCACUGCAGAAAGGUUGGUCAUCCAGAAGAAAAGUGCUGGUUUAAUCCAGAAGCUGUAUGUCAAUAUUGUAAGAAGAAGGGUCAUGUUGAGAGAGUCUGCAAGAGUAAGACCAAAUCGAGACAGAAUCAGUUUCAACAGAUGAAAGCUGAGGCUCGAGUAGCUAAGGAGGACAGUGAUCAAGAGGAGCAAGUCUUUGCUGUGUCAUGCUCAGCUGCUCAGGAAAGGUCCUCAUCUGGUUGGCUCCUAGACAGUGGAUGCACCAACCACAUGACACCUGAUACUGCAAUCUUCAAGUCUUUAGACAGAAGCUGCAGAACUAAAGUCAAGAUAGGAAAUGGUCAUUUUAUUCAAGCUGAAGGCAAGGGUGAUGUGCUGAUAUGCACCCUUACAGGUACCAAAGUGAUUUCAAAUGUGCUGUUGGUGCCUGAAAUUGACAGAAACCUGCUCAGCAUAGCUCAGUUGCUGGAAAAAGGUUAUUCAGUUGUGUUUAAAGACCACCAGUGCCAAAUCAGUGAUCCAAGUGGAUCCAAACUGAUGGCAGUCCCUAUGGCUGAUAAGAGCUUUGUGGUUGACUGGACAAAAAAGUCAGACAUUGCCUACGCAGCCACUUCAGAUGAAUCCAAGCUGUGGCAUCAAAGACUGGGACAUGCCAACUUCAGAUCGAUGGCCCGAAUGGUCAGAGAGGACCUGGCUGAAAAUUUCAUCAACUCAGUGGACCAUGAUGAUGUAUGUAAAGUAUGUCAAUUAGGAAAGCAGGCCAGACUCCCAUUUCCCUCGAAUCAAGCCUGGAGAGCCUCUGAAAAACUCCAACUGGUGCAUACUGAUGUGUGUGGCCCUAUGAAGACUGAGUCAUUAAGUGGAAACAGGUAUUUUAUACUGUUCAUUGAUGAUUUUUCAAGAUAUUGCUGGAUUUACUUCUUAAAACAAAAAUCUGAAGUGGCCUCAGUGUUUUGAAAGUUCAAGACUGCUUCUGAGACUGAAACAGGCUGCAAGCUGAAGACCAUAAGGUCUGAUAAUGGGACUGAGUACACCUCAGCUCAGUUCCAAGCCUUCUGUGAUAAGGCAGGCAUCAAACAUCAACUUACCAACACAUAUACACCUCAGCAGAAUGGUGUAAGUGAAAGGAAGAAUAGGAGUUUGAUGGAUAUGGCCAGGUGCUUGAUGAUUCAGAAGAAUCUGCCUAAAGCACUAUGGGCAGAAGCAGUUAACACUGCAACAUACAUUCAAAAUAGACUUCCAACCAAGGCUUUGGAUCAGAAGACUUCAUUCGAGGCCUGAUUUAACUUCAAGCCAUCACUGGCUCAUCUGAAGGUCUUUGGAUGCAUCUGUUAUGCACAUGUACCUGCUGUUAAAAGGGACAAAUUGUUUGAAAGGGCUCAACCUGGUGUACUGGUGGGCUACAGCACUGUUAAGAAAGGCUAUAGGAUCUUGGAUCCUUCAACAAACAAGGUGUCAAUUAGCAGGGAUGUGGUAUUUGAUGAAAGGUCAUGUUGGAACUGGGAAAGACAUGAACCUGAAGAAGUUUCUGAAGAACUAGCAACAGACCAAGCUGAGCCAGACCAAAAUGUUCCAGAAAUGGACAUUGAUGAUGAACCAGUUAGAGGAACAAGACCAUUGACUGAGAUUUAUGAAAGGGCUCAUGUAGCCAUAGCUGAACCAAGCAACUUUGAAGAGGCUGAGGCUCAGCAAGGGUGGAAGCAGGCAAUGGCUGAGGAGAUCAGCAUGAUUGAGAAGAACCAGACCUGGGAAUUGGUUGAAAGGCCAGUCAAAAGGAAGGUGAUUGGGGUGAAAUGGGUGUACAAAGUCAAGCACAAUGCUGAUGGAACCUUGAACAAACUGAAAGCAAGGCUAGUUGUCAAGGGGUUCAGUCAGAGGUAUGACCUGGACUACCUGGAGACCUUUGCACCAGUGGCCAGGCUCGACACCAUCAGACUACUGAUUGCCUUAGCAGCACAGCUCGAACGGAAAAUCCAUCAACUUGAUGUGAAAUCAGCCUUUCUGAAUGGUUUCUUAGAUGAAGACAUCUAUGUUGAACAACCACAAGGGUUUGAAAUAGCUGGCAGAAAGCAUAUGGUCUACAAACUGAAGAAGGCCCUAUAUGGAUUAAAACAGGCUCCAAGGGCUUGGUACAGCAGAAUCGAUGGCUACUUGACUGAUCUGGGAUUCGAUCGAAGCAAGAGUGAGCCAACACUGUAUGUCAAGAAACAAGAGACACAAAUACAACUCAUUGUGUCCCUGUAUGUUGAUGACCUUCUGGUGACAGGAGGAGAUCGAGUAGUGCUGGCUGAUUUCAAGACCAAGAUGCAGGAAGUGUUUGAAAUGUCUGAUCUUGGGGAGAUGUCCUAUUUUCUUGGAAUGGAGGUGUCUCAAGUACAGAAUGAGAUAUUUCUAAGCCAGAGAAGCUUUGCCACAAAGAUUCUGACCAAGUUCUCCAUGCAAAACAGCAAGGCAACUAAAACACCUGUUGCUGUUGGAGAAAAACUAUCGAGCCAAGGUGAUUUUGAGAAAGUAUGUGAAACAACCUACAGGAGUCUAGUUGGUUGCUUGCUAUACUUGACUGCCACUAGACCAGACAUCAUGUAUGCUGUAGGAUUGCUCUCAAGGUUCUUACAUUGCUGCAAUGAGAAGCAUUUCCAAGCUGCAAAGAGAGUGCUGAGAUAUGUCAAAGGCACUUUAAACUAUGGUUUGAAGUACAGCAAAGAAGGAAAUCUGAAGCUGGUUGGCUACACUGAUAGUGACUGGGCUGGCUCGAUAGAUGACAUGAAAAGCACCUCAGGGUAUGCUUUUAACCUUGGUUCAGCCAUGUUUUGCUGGAGCUCGAAGAAGCAAAGUCUAGUGGCUCAAUCUACUGCUGAAGCAGAGUAUGUGGCAACAGCAAGUGCUGUCAACCAAGCCAUAUGACUAAGGAAAAUAUUGGCUGACUUGAAUGUGCAUCAAGAGGAAGCUACUGAGAUCUUCUGUGACAACCAAUCUGCAGUAGCAAUUGCUAAAAAUCCAGUGUUCCAUGGAAGAACAAAGCAUUUUAGCAUCAAGUUACAUGUUGUUCGAGAAAUGGAGCAAGCUCAGGAAGUAAAGCUGAUCCACUGUAAUUCAGAGGAUCAACUUGCAGACAUUUUAACGAAAGCCCUUAGUGUCACAAGGUUCGAAUGUCUAAGGAAGAAGUUAGGUGUUUGCUCCAUACAAACCAAGGAGGAGUGAUGAAGUUGGUUCAGCAUGCAGCAAACUCGACAGCAUGCAGGCCAUGAAGACCAAGACAUGCAGGAGCUGCUGAUGCAAGCUUAUUUUAUUUAUUUUGUAAUUUCUAGUCAAUGAAAUGUAAUCUUAGUUCAUUUCUAACUAAGUUAGGUUGUUGACUGAUGUAAUUAGCUUAUGUAUGAGCUGUAAACACAACUUUGUAUAGGUUUACAAGCUAAAAUUUCAAGUUUCCAUGUAAUUAGUGGGAGUAGGUGAUGUUUAGGUAAUUAUUUGCUGUUUUUGACAAGCUUAGUGCUUGGUUUAUGUAUUGGCAUUAUGCCAUUAUUCAAUUUUAUGAAUGAAGUUCAGUUUGUUCAUCAAUUUUUCUCUUCAUUUCUCUUAGCUUUUCUUCCUUUCUCUUGCUCGAAUUCUCUUGUUUGCUCAGCAAAUCUCGAGACUUGCUCGACAAGUCUGUACUGAAUCUGUUAGUUUCAGUUACAGCACCAACACAUUGGAAGGAAAAGGUUCUAAGCUUGAGGUCCCACCUGACGUUUGUUUAGGGAAUCUGAAGACUUUGUGGCUUGAACACUGGGUUCUUUUCGGUGAUUCCAUCAAUAGAUUGAUUUCCAAUUGUCAUGUCUUAGAAGAUUUGGCUUUUACUGACUGUUCUGUUGCGAAUACAAGUGAGCUUACCAUCCAAAGUCCUUCGCUUAAGCAACUGAUUUUAGAUUUUUUUUCGGAAGACGUCGGAGGUUUCAAUUAUGUGCUGGUGAUUAAUGCUCCAAAUCUGGUUUAUUUUCGAUAUUACUCCAAAAUAGUUAAUGGUUAUACUUUGAGCAACAUGGACUCCCUAGAAAAUGCCGAUAUUCGCAUCGACGCGUUUGAUUUCGAAGGUGAUGAAACAAGUAAACUACUGCAACUCAUCUUUUCAGUGAUGAUGAAAUAAAUGCAAUUCGUCUUAUUCAAGGAAUUUGCAAUGUUCGGUCUCUAACCUUAGUCAUUGAUGGACUGGUUAGUAAACUUAGUAUUCAUGUGUUUUUCUUUCUUUCAACAUUAUAUAAAAACUCCAGAUUUUCGUGUGCGCAGAUUCCCCCAACAAGUCCAUUUCCUAUGUUUGACAACCUUAUUGAAUUCAAUUUUUAUGGGAGAGAAACUUGGCUUGUGGAGUUUCUAUAUUGUGCUCCUAAUCUAAAGACACUUAAAUUCAGUUUUUCGGUAUGUACGUAAGUCUUUGUUUAAGCAUGUGUAUUUGUUGCAAUUGAUUGUUUUAGUGUUAGUUAUAUCCACAGUUACGAUAAACUUGAAAGAAAUCGGUAGCAUGCGAGAUCACCUAAAUUCAUGGUACAAAUCAAAUAACUUUUCUUCUUUUGUCAUGAGUUUAGGAUGUUGUAGGAACUCGGUGGAAGACUUUACUUACAGAAGUUCCUUCUUGUCUGUUAUUUCACCUCAAGGAGAUUGAGAUGCAAAUUUCAUACUCUGAGAGAAAGCCCGCAACCAAUUAUUGCAGUUACUAAAAAAUUCAAAGAAAUGUCUAAUUGUGAUUUUGUAGUACUAAAUUACUAUGUGAAAUACAAAUUCAAUUUUGAGUCGAAAGAUUUCAAUUUAAUAGGGGUUUGGAUUUUUUUUUUUGCAUUUUUGUGGAUGAAGAAAUUUAUAUUUUAUUAAUCUUUCUUCUCUUAUUUGCUAGCAACUUGUGAUUUUAUUAAAAUUUUUAGAAAACAUGUAUAUAAAAAUAAUUAUAUAUAGGGUAAAUUACAUAGGUGAUUAAAUUGGUCACUUAAUUGAAUUAUUUAAAAGUUUUAAUUUAUGUCAUUAAUCUGUUAAAAUAAUUGAUGUAUGAUCUUUUUUUUCUUUGCUACACCUUUUUUUUUCUUAAUUUUUUCAAGGGCUCAUUUUAUUUAAAAAAAAUUUAUCAUCCUAAUGACUUCAAUAAAAAAUUUCAAAUAGUUUAACCAUUUUAAAUAACCAUUUUAUAAUUUUUAAAAUUUAAGUUAAAUAAAGAAUUUCAAAUAAUUCACUAAUUUAAAACAAAAUUUUUGAAUAUUUCAAAAACCAUUUUUAAACUUUUCAAAAUUUAUAUAUACAAAACCAAAUUGGUUGCCUAUAAGUUCUAUCCACAAGAUAAAAUAGUAUCAAGAAGCCCCUCUAAUGUAGCAUAACAUCGACAAGAGGCUGAAGAUCCCUGUCAAGAAAAUCGUACUCUAAUAAGCUACUAUAAUUUUCACAAUACAUAAUGAAAUUUUUUGGUGGAAGUACCAUCAAGGCCCCUCUACUAAGGUCUGUAGUUUUCUUAUCUUAUGGCGAUGUGUGUGGAAGACAGGAUCAGUAGUUUUCCAGAUCAUAUUCUUUGUAGUAUUUUGUCAUUCCUUCCCAUUAAAGAAGCAGUUCGAACCUCUAUUAUUUCAAACAAGUGGAGAUACCUCUUUGCUUCAAUUUCUACCAUUGUAUUUGAUCGUUCUUUGCUGCGUGGUUUGACUGACAGAAACGUUGACAGCUUCAAGAACUUUGUUGAUAGGUUGUUGAAAUUCCCCGAUCAAGUAAGUUUAGAUUGCUUUAGGCUACGUGGUGAUGGGAUUUCUUCAUGGAAUGAUGGAGAUCAUGAUUUUGGUGUCUCUGAUUGGAUAUGUGCUGCAUUGUACCGUGGUGUUGAGGAUACUUCACCAGCUGUUUAAUUCACUUGCCACUCACUGGUGACACUGAAAUUGAAUGCAGAAGGUUCUAAGAUUGAGGUCUCAUCUGACGUUUGUUUAGGUAAUUUGAAAGCUUUGUACCUUACAAGCUUGGUACUUUUCGGUGAUUCCAUUAAUAGGUUAAUUUCCAAUUGUCAUGUCUUACAAGAUUUGGCUUUUACUGAAUGUUCCGUUGCGAAUGCAAGUGAGAUUAAUAUCCAAAGUCCUUCGCUUUCGACAGACCAUGUGGUGGUGAUUAAUGCUCCAAAUCUUCGCUUUAGAAAUUAUACUGUGUAUUUUUAGAUUUUAUCAACUCUUUUGCAUUUUUUUCUUCUCUUAUCUGCUAGCAACUUGUGAUUUUAUCAAAAUUUUAUCAAAAUAUGUAUAUAUAUAGGAUAAAUUAGACGGAUUAACAAGUGGAUUGCGAACCUGUACUUGUCUUCAGUUUGAAGACAUUGAAAUUGGGUCCUUUCUCACAAGAGCUAGAUGAAUUCCCACCACCUCCACUCUUCCCUUGAAAUUUUGACAUUGAAUGGAUGAGAUUAUCUUCAACACCUAGCCGCACUCAAGUAUUUAAUUAUUUCUGGAUUUGAUGGAGUCACAACUUUACCUGAGUGGUUGGGAAACCUCACCUCUCUUCAAGAUUUGACAAUAGAUUUUUGUCGAAAUCUGGAGCAUCUGCCAUCUAAGGGAGCCACAUAUCAUCUCUCCAAUAUUCAACUCUUUCUAUUGCAAACUGUCCACCAUUAAAAGGAGACCGGAUUUACAUCAGCAAGAGGUUAGAUCCCUGCCAACCAAAUACAAGUCUAUGAACAUUAAGAAUGUAAGUUAAAGUCUCAUCGAUGUGCUCCUAUAAUAUUCACAAUACAUCCUAAUGAAAGAAAUUUCUUUCAUGCAACACUCAUAUUUUGACUGAAGGAUGCACCAGAGAGAUGACGAAUUCCUAGGUUGCAGUCAACUUCAACAUCCCCGGUCACCACCUCAACUCAUCCCAUCGAACCCUUGGGAUUGAAUGGAUCGGAACAAGAAAGCUCUCUUCCAUGUCAACUUCAACAUCUCACUGCAUACCGGCAUGGAAAUGACUGAAAAAGCUCUCUUCUGCUUCAGUUUUGAGAAUUUAUUUAAACGAACAAGUUGAACCAAUAAAUUGAUGGCUUAAACAUCAUAUUCAAAUUAUCUAUGUAAUAGAUUAUUUAAAGUCCAUUAUUAAGCAAAUAUUUUAAGUGGUCAUUAAAAAGAAAAAUAAUGGAAAAAAAUGAAAUUCAAGUACUAAAACUUUAACAAAUUUUAAUUGUACCUCUUACAAAAUUUGUAGUGCUUAGAUCAAAGAUGAUUGAGUCUAGGUUGGCUUCUACACAUCUCUUUAAUGAGCUUCCUUUCUAUAUCCAAAUUAUUACUUCCAUGGGAAAUCCACCAACCCUGUAAAUAUUUUUAAAUUAUUUACGAACCCAUUGAGCUGGUUGAAUCUAAAAUUAAAUUAAUUAGUACUCAAAAUAACUCGAAUAAGUAAACUCAGGAGCAAUGCUGGUGGGAGGUAGGCACCUAAUCUCCCAAAAUGAAAAUUUUCACUUUUGGACCUUUAGAAUUGAUAAGAUUUUAAGUUAGUAUAUGAUAAAAUUACACUUUGACCUCUCAUGAUAAAAAAAAGAUUAGUUGCCAAAUUAGGAAAAAGAGUCAAGUUCGAGUAUUAAAUUAAAUCCCCAAAAAUAUAAGUACCAAUUUAAGAAAAAAGAGUCAAAUUUGGAUACUAAAUGGACAAAAAAAGAUAUUAAAUUAAGAAAAAUGUGAAGUUUAGAUACCAAAUAUUAUAUUAAAGAUUAUUUUAAGAACCCAUUAUUAACUGGAAAUUAAUUUCUUAUUAUUUUAAGUGAAUUACCCAACUAUUUUCAAAUUUUUAUUAAAUUUAUAAUAUAUUGAAGCUAUGUAAUUUGAUAAAAUUUGAUUUUGUAAUAUAAGAGAUUAACAUAAUCUCGAUAUCCUUUGAUCUCAUCCACCGAUGUAACUCGAUCUAUACUUCAAACUAUAAAUAGAGAGCCUCCCUCACCCAUGCGACCAAUUUUGACAUUUAACCCUAAAUUUUUGUAUCUCUAGCAGCUUCCUAUCGCCGGGGGUCGCGCCGGUGUAGUUUUCUUAUCUUAUGGCGAUGUGUGUCGAAGACAGGAUCAGUAAUCUUCCGGAUCAUAUUCGUUGUUAUAUUUUGUCAUUCCUUCCCAUUCAAGAAGCAGUUCGAACCUCCGUUAUUUCAACCAAGUGGAGAAACCUCUUUGCUUCAAUUUCUACCGUUGACUUUGAUACUUAUUUACUGUGUCGUUUGACGGACGGAAACGUUGACAGCUUCAAGAACUUUGUUGAUAGGUUGCUGAAAUUCCCCGAUCAACUAAGUUUAGAUUGCUUUAGGCUACGUGGCGAUGAAUUUGAUUCAUGGAAUGACGAAGGUCAUGGUUUUGAUGUUUCUGGUUGGAUAUGUGCUGCAGUGUGCCGUGGUGUCAAGGAAAUUGAUUUGUACUUAGAUAUUUUUUUGUCAUACUUUACCAACUCUUUUAUUCACUUGCCACUCACUGCUGACACUGACAUUGGUUGCAAAAGAUUCUAAGAUUUUUGAGGUCCCAUCCGAGGUUUGUUUAAGGAAUCUCAAGACUUUGUCCAUUACAAACUCGCGACUUGUCGGUGAUUCUCUUAAUAGGUUAAUUUCCAAUUGUCAUGUCUUAGAAGAUUUGACCUUUUAUCAAUGUUUUGUUGCGAAUGCAAGGGAGAUCAAUAUCCAAAUUCCAUCACUUAAGAGCUUGUAUUUAGAUUUUUUUCUCCCGAUCGAAGGUUUAAAUUAUGUGGUGGUGAUUAAUGCUCCAAAUCUUGUUUAUUUUCGAUAUGAUUCCAUAAUAGUUGAAGGUUAUAGUUUGAGUAACAUGAAAUCCCUAGAAAAAGCCGAGAUGUGCAUCUCGUUUUAUUCCAGUAAUUAUGAAACAAGUGCAACUCAUCUUUUUCAAGGAAUUUGCAAUGUACGGUCUCUAAGGUUAAACAUUCAUGAAGUGGUUAGUAAACUUAAUAUUCAUGUGUUCUUUUUUCCUUAACAUUAUAUAAUAUAACAGUUUAAGUGUUUGUGUGUGCAGAUUCACCUAACAAGUGGAUUUCCUAUAUUUCACAAUCUUAUUGAAUUCGAUUUUUAUGGGAGUGAAACUUGGUUUGUAGAGUUUCUACAUUGUGCGCCUAAUCUAAAGACACUUACCAUCCUACUUGAGGUAUGAAGUCUUUGUCUAAGUACGAUAAACUUACUCGAUAUCAUGACCUAAAUUCAUGGCCCAAACCAAAUAACUUUUCUUCUUUGUCAUGAGUUUAGGGUGUUGCGGGAGCUCGAUGGAAUAUAAACGUUCCUUCUUGUUUGUCAUUUCGCCUCAAGAAGAUUGAAAUUUCAGACUAUGUCAUAGAUAUGAUUGAAAUAGUUCGUUAUUUAUUAGAUAAUUCAAUGGUUCUAGAAGAGCUUAUAAUAAGGAUGAAGGCCAUAAAUGCGACACCUGGAAUUAAAGCCUGCAACCAAUUAUUGCCGUUACUAAAGAGUUCAAAGAAAUGUCAAAUUGUGAUUUUGUAGCACUGAAUUAUCAGAUUCUUGUGAAAUACAAAUUCGGUUUUAAGUCAAAAUAUUUUUAUUUAAUAGGGGUUUAGAUUUUUAUUUUUAUUUUUACAUUUCUGUAUCUUUCUUCUCUUAUUUGCUAGCAAUUUUAUUUAAUUAUUUAAAAGUUUUCAUUUAAUUAGUCAAUUAAAAUAAUUUAUGUAUAAUCUUUUUUUUGCCCUCGCUUAUAGAAUCGAUUGCUCUUAUUCUCUUUUUUUUUUCUCAUUUUUUUUCAUAGAGCUCGCUAAACUUAAAAAAUAAAAUUAACAUCACAAUGACUUACAUAAAAUAGUACCAAAAAGCCCCUCUACUAUAAUAUAACAUGGACAAGAGGCUGAAGAUUCCUAUCAAGCAAAUUGUACUCUAAUACGCUCCUAUAAUAUUCACAAUACAUAAUGACAGAAUUUUUUUGAUAGAAGUACCAUGAAAGUCUCUCUACUAAAAGUUAAAUUCUUUAAUAUUUUCAUUUUUAUAAAGUAGGUGGAAUAAAAUUGAAUUUAACAUUUUUGUUUUUUCAUCGAUUAAAUAAAUGUUUUUAGAAUCAAACUAGAUCAUUUGGCUAAAAUUUUAAUUGAUUGCAGUACUGGUUCGAAGAUAAAUGUUGAAUCGAUUAGCCCGUGAACUGAAACAAAUGACGAAGCUCAGGAAAAUCUAUGAACUAGUUGACUUGUUUUUUUCUAUUCUUUAAAUAAUUUAUUUUUUAUUUUAUGAUUUUUUUAAACAAAUAACCCAAUCUUAAACCUCCCGCCAAUGCAAGUCCGGUCUGCCUUUAAUAGUCGACAGUGUAUGAUGGUAAGACUGUAUAUCGGAGAGACGACACACAGCUCCUUUGCGCGGCAGAUGGUCUGUUGGGAAGAAACCGAACAACCGAAACAAAGCGAAAGCACAACCGGUGUUCUUUCUCUCCUUAUAACUCCUGUAAAAAAUUAUGGCAAGCACAAUAGCACAAGAUAUGUUCUCUAGCAACCUUAAUCAACCACAAAUCAACUAAUGCAACCACAACAAAAAUAAAUAGAGACACCGGUAUUUUUACGUGGAAAACCCCUUUAAAUCAAGGGUAAAAACCACGGGACUUUAGAGUCCGAUAAAGAGCUCUACUAUCAUCAAAUGUUCGACUACAAGAUCACAAUAUCAAGCCUACAACAAGCAUUCAACUCCGACAAGGCUAACAAUAUGUAAUCUUUAGCAAAAGAGAGAAAAAUGAGAGAACAUCACCAAAAAAUGCAGCUGCUGAAAAAAUGGGUAUUUUCGACGCUAAAAGACUCGGAUGAAAAAUCCGACCGUCCAAAGUCAAGAACACCUUAUCGCCUAGCUGCUGUCCAAAAAUCAGCUCAAUUGAACCACGGAUGGACCUUCGAUCGAGGAGUUGAUCACUGCUGCACCAAGCUUGAAAAACUGAUUUUUUUUUAUUCUCUCUUUUUCUCCAACGAGCUUCAAUCUCACUCUCUGUUUUUCUCUCUUUUAAAUUGAGAAUUUGACACUCAAUAAUAAUAGAAAGACAAAACAUUAUGGCAGAAAAUAUGGGUUUCCCACAUAGUGGGACCCAUACCCAACAUGGUCCAGAUUUAAUGAAUCGCUAACUAUUGAAGAGAGGAGAAAUUGUUAUCUCUAAUGUUUCCAACCUUGUGAAUUCAGGUAAUGCUUCCUCUUAUCUCUUAUCUUACUAUGAACAUGUCUGCAAAUGGUAAGAGUUAGGUGAUGGACAUAGGUAAUCUGCAUAUGUAAUGUAAGUUAAUUGAAAUGUGAUCAUCACAGAAGUUAAAAACUUAGGUCCUUUACACUAUGGCUUUUCUAGUCUAAUAUGAGAAAUGGAUUGUCCAAUAUCAUGUUAAUUAUGCAUCUUAGAUCUCAAAAGCUAGCUGUUGGGAACCAUUGUUUUUAAAACUGUAUGAGCUAGUUGGACCAGGUUGAAUCGUCUGACUUUCACAACGGUAUGAACCAAUUGAACCAAACGUUGGAGUAAAAAUCUUAAAAAUCUUAUUGGGAACUUAUCCUAGGCAAAAGUUGGGUUCAAUCAAGUUUUUGCAAUAACCUCUAUUAAUGUAACACCCCCUAAUCCCAAACCGUCGUCAGAAUAGGGUUACGAGGCGUUACCGAACAUAUUGGUUAAUUUACAAACAAUUUUAUGAAUAAACAACAAAUAUUUUAAAAUUAAAUCAUUAAGUCUCUUUUAUGAACCCUCGAGGCCUAAAUCAUGUAUUAUAAAUGAAUAGGGACUUAUUCAAGUACUCUGAAAAUUUUUCAUAAUAUAAUAAUUAUUAUUUUUUUUAAAAAAAUUUCAAUAUAACCCUUUUAAAAACAUCUAACCUUCCCUGCAAUUUCAAAUUUGCAACUAACUCAACACAACAACAACUCAACAAAUACAAUCUUCAUCCAAAUCAUAUUCGUCUUAUAACAAUAUCACUAAUCCUUAUUUUAUCUAACAUUAUAUCCAUUCAUACUUUCAAGUAGUAUUUAAAAAUCUUAAUUAAUUUCCAUUCAUAUCAUAUAUCAACUUAUAUUAACUUAACUAAUAUAUUCAUGAGUUGAUACAAAACAUAGUCACAUCAGCUCCUAUACAUGCCAUAUAAACCAUUUAAAGUAAUUAUAACAAAAUCUACCGGAAAAUCGAGAUAGUGUGACUUGAGCGUGAUGAUCCGAUCCUCUGACCCUCCCGUUAAUCUACAAAGAGCAAUAAACAUUACAGGUAAGCUAACUAUAGCUUAGUAAGUUCGUCGGCUUAAACCAUAAACCUUACCAAUAUUAGUUUCAAAAAUUCAAAUCAUAUGGACAUUUCAAGUAAGUUACUUUCAUCUUGUAAAUCAUAAUCUCAUUUUAAAAAUAAUUUACUUAAUUGAGCUAAAAAAUAAUGAUAACAUUAUUUACAUUUCUUUUUUCACACGUUACAAUUACGACUUACUGACUUGUUAAUUUAAGGAACGACUUAUGGAUUUGAGUACAUCGUGAUCUGAAACCCGAAAUCUAACUGAAGCACAAAAGUGCUAAACGGAAGCCCGAAGGCUAACUGAAGCACAUAAGUGCUAAACGGAAGCCCGAAGGCUAACUGAAGCUCAUCAGAGCUGAACUGAAACCCCAAAAGGGUUAACUGAAACUCAUAUGAGUUAACGGAAGCUCGUAAGAGCUAAAUAGAAAGCAAACACGAGAGUUCGCAACAAAUGCUGAAUCUCGGUUUACUUGGGUAAUUUACCGUCAAUUCAUCUUUUUCACCGAACGAUCGUACUCAUUUCCUGCGUUCCGUUCCUCCGAAUUACUCAGUUCAAUUUCGUAACUUUUGUACAUGAUUUAAUUAUUUUCAACAAUUAACAUACAUAAAUAUUAAUCACCAUUCAUAAAAUAACAUUGAAAUUUAAUAAUUUAACCGUACGAACUUACCCGGAACAAUUUGCAGUAGUUGUAGAGAUUUCUUGAACUAUUCCGGAAUUUUCUCUUUUCCUCGUUUAUCCUCAAUUUCUUGAUCUAUAAUAUAAAAUUUUCACUUAUCAGUAUUGACUUCACAUUCAUUCUAUUUCACAUCCUUAAUGUUUAUAACCCGCUUACAAGUAACAUUAUCUACAAUUUUACUAUUUACCUAUGUAUAUUCAAUGCUGUCCAUCCAUGUCAUAGUCACUAAAUUAUUUUUAUCUUGAGCUACAGAACUCCAAAUUAGGAUCCGCUAAUUUUCACUGAACUAGACUCACAUAUCUUCUUAUCAUAAAAUUUUCAUAAUUUUUGGUUUAGCCAAUAAUUACAGUUUAUUCUUUAAAGUCACCCCUGUUCUGCUGUCUGAGAAUUCUAACCUUUCUUCACUAAAAAUUAAUUAUCUCUUCAUACAGAAUUCGGAUGAUAUUCCCGUUUGUUUCUUUUGAAAAUAGACUCAUUCAGAAUUCUUGACAUAUAAAUUUAAGUCCCUAAAUAUUUUUAUUAAAUUUUUUAUGAUUUUUCAAAUUCAGAACAGGGGAACUCGAAUUCAUUCUGACCUUGUCUCACAAAAUUAAUUAUAUCUCAUGAUUUCCAAAUCCUUUGCUAACACCGUUUCUUCUAUGAGAAACUAGACUCAAUAAGCUUUAACUUAUAUUUUGUUCAUAUUCUAAUUCGAUUCCUAAAAUUUAUGGUAAUUUUUCAAAGUUAGUCUACUGCUGCUGUCCAAACUGUUUUAGUGCAAGCUGUUUAUUGCCAUUUCCCCUAAGCUUUUAAUAAAUAACAAUUUCGUCCCUACUCAAUUAGCCUCUCAAUUGAGCUGAUUUUUCUCAAUUAACACUUUAUUCUAUCACCUUUAACUAGUUUACAACCUUUAGGAAUCCAAAUUUCAGAAAUAGACUUUAAUUCCAAACAUUUUCACAAUUAGGUUCUAAAAAAUCAAUUUCUAUUGAAAUUACCUAAUAGAAUCAUCUCAUAAACAAAUUAAUGCUUUAAUUUCAUUCUAUUUCAUCAUAAACUUACAGCACUCAACCAUGGUGACUUUCAAUUUCAUCCAUGAAAUCAAAAACUAAUGAAUUUAAUAGUAGGACCUAGUUGUAAAAGUCUUAGAAACACAAAAAUUACAAGAAAAAGGCAAGGAUUAACUCACUUGGUGCAAAAAUUAUGAAAUACCAGCUUAUAGAACCCUCCUAUGGCAUUUUUAGCUGCUGGAAUUGAAGAGAAAUGAAGAGAAAUCUAGAUAUUUCCUAUUUAGUCCUAGCUUUAUUUAGUUAAUUUUGCAAUAUUCCAAUUUUGCCCUUAAUUCAUCAAUUUUCCUGCUGAUUUCAAACCCCUUGCCGUCCAGCCCAAAUAGACCUUGGGUCUUUUUGCCUUUUAAACCCUCUUUCUUUUAUCAUUUAAGCUAUUUAAUCAUUCUUCAUAAUUUUACAUUUGUUACAAUUUAGUCCUUUUUAUUCAAUUAACCAUCGAAACUUUAAAAUUUGUUGACGAAACUUUAAUACUAACUUAUUAACACUCCAUAAAUAUUUAUAAAAAUAUUUAUGGCUCGUUUUAAAAAUUUUCAAACUCUCGAUACCUCAUUUUUUAUUCUAAUUUUUUUUAAUAUUUAUUUCUAGUACACUAUUCGCUAUUUCAAAAAUUUUCCUAACUUCACAUUUAACUUAUAUUCAUUAAAUUAUUAAUAUUUUUCUACUCAUUUGUCGGAUUUAGUGAUCUCGAAUCACUGUUCCGACACCACUGAAAAUUUAGGCUAUUACAAUUAAUGAGAGGAGAAAAAGAGAAAUAUUAUCGUAAUUGUGAAUAUUGAAAAUAAUCAAUUGCAAUAAAUACGAGUACUUAAACAAAACUUCAUACUAAAUCGAGGAUAAGUAUAUUUAAAUUCGAUACACCCAUUGGAGAUGUUGGGGAUUACAUCAUACUUGAUCAAUUAAGAAAAGACAUGAAGGAAUAGUACAGGUAUUAAGUUUGACAUUUACUUUGAAUAUGUAUUACAUUGCACACUGGCAAAAAUUAAGGGAUUAAUUUUGAUAUUAACCCUAAAUCUUAUAUACAGCUACGAAAAUAGUGGUCUCUUUUGACAUUAUAAUUGUCCUACAAUUAUAAUUGAUAUUAAUCCUAAAUCUUAUAAUUGUGUUUCAAAAUCGGUAGUGCUUAAAUCAAAGAUGAUUGAGUCUAGGUUGGCUUCUACCCAUCUCUGUAAUGAGCUCCUUUCUAUAUCCAAAUUAUUACUUCCAUGGGAAUUCCACCAACCCCUGCAAAUAUUAUUAAAUUAUUUGUCAAUCCAUUGAGCUAGUUGAAUCAAAAUUUAAUUUAAUUAGAACUCAAAAUAAUUCGAAUAAAUAAAUUCAGGGUCACUGUUAGUGGGAGGUAGGUACCUGAUCUCUUAAAAUAAAAAUUUUCACUUUUGGACCUUUAGAAUUGAUAAGAUUUUAAGUUAGUACAUAAUAAAAUUACAUUUUGACCCUUCAUGAUAAAAAAAAAAGAUUAGGUGCCAAAUUAGAAAAAAGAGUCAAGUUCGGGUACUAAAUUAAAUCCAAAAAAUAUAAGUACCAAUUUAAGAAAAAAGAGUCAAGUUUGGAUACUAAAUUGGACAAAAAAAUAGAUAUCAAAUUAAGAAAAAAUAUGAAGUUUAGAUACCAAAUAUUAUAUUAAACGAUUAUUGUAGGAACCCAUUAUUAACUGAAAAUUGGCUUUAAAUUUUUAUUAAAUUUAUAAUUUAUUUAACAUAUGUAAUUUGAUAAGAUUUGGUUUUAUAAUAUAAGAGAUUAACAUAAUCUCGAUAUGCUUUGAUCUCUUCCACCAAUGUAAGUCAAUCUAUAAGUCCGGCUAUAAAUAGAGAGCCUCCCUCGCCCAUUGUAUUUCAUUAUUAUUCUAUUCUUUUAGUAAAAGUUAAAGCGACCAAUUUUGACAUUUAACCCUAAAUUUUUGUACCUCUAGCAGCUUCCUAUCGCUGGCGGUCGCACCGGUGUAGUUUUCUUAUCUCAUGGCGAUGUGUGUCGAAGACAGGAUCAGUAAUCUUCCAGAUCAUAUUCGUUGUCAUAUUUUGUCAUUCCUUCCCAUUCAAGAAGCAGUUCGAACCUCUAUUAUUUCAACCAAGUGGAGAAAUCUCUUUGCUUCAAUUUCUACCGUUGACUUUGAUACUUAUUUACUGUGUGGCUUGACUGACAGAAACGUUGAUAGCUUCAAGAACUUUGUUGAUAGGUUGCUGAAAUUCCCCAAUCAACUAAGUUUAGAUUGCUUUAGGCUACGUGGUGAUGAAUUUGAUUCAUGGAAUGAUGGAGAUUAUGAUUUUGAUGUUUCUGGUUGGAUAUGUGCUGCAGUGUGCCGUGGUGUCAAGGAAAUUGAUUUGUUCUUGGAUAAUUUUUGUCACACUUUACCAGAUAUUUUAUUCACUUGCCACUCACUGCUGACACUAACAUUGACUGCAAAAUAUUCUAAGAUUUUUGAGGUCCCAUCCGAGGUUUGUUUAAGGAAUCUGAAGACAUUGUGCAUUACAAACUCGGUACUCGUCGGUGAUUCUCUUAAUAGGUUAAUUUCCAAUUGUCAUGUCUUAGAAGAUUUGACUUUUGAUGAAUGUUCUGUUGCGAAUGCAAGGGAGAUCAACAUCCAAAUUCCAUCACUUAAGAGCUUGUAUUUAGAUUUUUUUUUCCCGACCGGAGCUUUAAAUUAUGUGGUGGUGAUUAAUGCUCCAAAUCUUGUUUAUUUUCGAUAUGAUUCCGUAAUAGUUGAAGGUUGUAGUUUGAGUAACAUGAAAUCCCUAGAAAAAGCUGAUAUUUGCAUCUGGUUUGAUUCCAGUAACUAUGAAACAAGUGCAACUCAUCUGUUUCAAGGAAUUUGCAAUGUACGGUCUCUAAGGUUAAACAUUCAUGAAGUGGUUAGUAAGCUUAAUACUCAUGUGUUCUUUUUUCCUUUUAACAUUAUAUACUAUAAAGGCUCCAAAUUUUUGUUCCUGCAGAUUCCCCUAGCAAGUCGAAUUCCCAUAUUUCAUAAUCUUGUUGAAUUUGAAUUUUAUGGGAGAGAAAGUUGGCUUGUGGAGUUUCUACAUUUUGCACCUAAUCUAAAGACACUUACGGUCAAAUUUCAGGUAUGAAGUCUUUGUCAAGAAAUCGAAGACAUGCUCGAUGUCACCUAAAUUCAUGGUACAAACCGAAUAACUUUUCUUCUUUUUGUCAUGAGUUUAGGACGGGAACUCGAUGGAAUAUAGGUGUUCCUUCUUGUUUGUCAUUGCACCUGAAGAAGAUUGAAAUUUCAGACUAUGCCACAUAUAUGAUUGAAAUAGUUCGUUAUUUAUUAGAUAAUUCAAUGGUUCUAGAAAAGCUCAUAAUAAGGGUGGAUGCCAUGACUCCGACACAAGAAAAUAAAGCUCGCAACCAAUUAUUGCUGUUACUAAAGAGUUCAAAGAAAUGUCUAAUUGUAAUUUUGUAGUACUGAAUUAUCAGAUUCUUGUGAAAUGCAAAUUCGGUUCUUAGUCAAACUAUUUUAGUUUAAUAUGGGUUUGGAUUUUUUUUUAUUUGCAUUUUUUUUAUCUUUCUUCUCUUAUUUGCUAACAACUUCAUUUAAUUAUUUAAAAAUAUUCAUUUAAGUCAUUAAUCAAUUAAAAUAAUUAAUGUAUGAUUUUUUAUUGUAAUCGCUUGUACAAAUCAACAGCUCUUACUCAUUUUAUUUUCUCAAUUUUUUCAUAGAACUCACUAAACUUAAAAAAGAAAAAAUUAACAUCGCAAUGACAUACAUAAAAUAGUACCAAGAAGCCCCUCUACGGUAAUAUAACAACGACAAGAGGCUGAAGAUCCCUGUCAAGCAAAUUGUCCUCUAAUAUGCUCCUAUAAUAUUCACAAUACAUAAUGACAGAAACUUUUUGGUAGCAGUGCUGUCAAGUCCCUCUACAAAGAGUCAAAUUCUUUAACAUUUUCAUUUUCAUAAAGUAGGUGGGAUAAAAUUGAAUUUAACAUUUCGUUCAGUUGAAAAUAUAAUUGAUUGCGGUAUUGGUCUGAAGAUAAAGGUUGAAUCUAUUGAACCUUUGAACUGAAACAAAAAACCAAGCUUAGAAAAAUCGGUCUAUUCUUUACAUAAUUUAUUUUUUAUUUUAUGAUUUUUUUAAACAAAUAACCAAUAUUAAUCCUCCCGCCAAUGCAAGUCCGGUCUGCCUUUAAUCGUCGACAGUGUAUGAUAGUAAGACUGUAUAUCGGAGAGACGAUAAAGAGCUCCUUUGCGUGGCAGAUGGUCCAGAUUUAAUGAAUCGCUAACUAUUGAAGAGAGGAGAAAUUGUUAUCUCUAAUGUUUCCAACCUUGUGAAUGCAGGUAAUGCUUCCUCUUAUCUCUUAUCUUACUAUGAACAUGUCUGCAAAUGGUAAGAGUUGGGUGAUGGACAUAGGUAAUCUGCAUAUGUAAUGUAAGUUCUUGAAAUGUGAUCAUCACAGAAGUUAAAAACUUAGGUCCUUUACACUAUGGCUUUUCUAGUCUAAUAUGAGAAAUGGAUUGUCCAAUAUCAUGUUAAUUAUGCAUCUUAGAUUGCAAAGGCUAGCUGCUGGGAACCAUUGUUUUCAAAACUGAACCAAAUAGUUGGAUCGGGAUAUUGAUUUGGAAUAAGAGGUUGGAUCGUUUGACUUUCAAAAUGGAAGCAAUCGUUGGAGUACAAAUCUUAAAAAUCUUAUUGGGAACUUAUCCUAGGCCAAACUUGGGUUAAAUCAAAUUUUUGCAAUAACCUAAACUCGUGAGAGAAGAAAAAGAGAAAUAUUAUCGUAAUUGUGAAUAUCGAAAAUAGUUAAUUGCAAUAAAUACGAGUACUUAAACAAAACUUCAUACUAGAUCGAAGAUAAAUGUCUUUAACUUAGACAUACCCAUUAUGUCUUGUUCAUUUCUUCAGGAGAUGAUGGGGCUUACAUACUUCAUACUUGAUCAAUGAAGAAAAGACAUAAAGGAAUAAUACAGGUAUUAACUUUGACAUUUGCUUUGUAUAUGUAUUAUAUUGCACAUUGGGUAAAAGUGAAGGGAUCAAUUUUGAUAUUAACCCUAAAUCUUAUAUAAAGCUAUGAAAAUACGACAUUAACACUAACUUUUUUGUAUAUCUAGCAGCUUGUACCAAAGGUAAGAACUUUCCUUUUCUUCCUUCCACAAAUCCGAGUCGGUGGCUGUCACCGCCACCCACGGCCGCCAUCAGAGUUCGAAGCCAGACAUAAGCUAGUGAAGCCGAACCACAAAACAAAAGCGAAAACUCUCCGUUUCCUAUCGCCGGCCGUCGGACAGGUCUGCAGUUUUCUUAUCUUAUAGCGAUGUGUUCCGAAGACAGAAUCAGUAUUUUGCCGGAUCAUAUUCUUUGUCAUAUUUUGUCUUUCCUUCCUAUUAAAGAAGCAGUUCGAACCUCUAUUAUUUCAACCAAGUGGAGAUACCUCUUUGCUUCAAUUUCUACCAUUGAAUUUGAUCGUUGUUUACUGAGUGGUUUGACUGACAGAAAUGUUGACAGCUUCAAGAACUUUGUUGAUAGGUUAUUGAAAUUCCCCGAUCAGGUAAGUUUAGAUUGCUUUAGGCUAAGUGAUGGGAUUUCAUGGAAUGAUGAAGAUCAUGAUUUUGAUGUCUCUGGUUGGAUAUGUGCUGCAUUGUGCCGUGGUGUUAGGGAAAUUGAUUUGCACUUAGAUAAUCUUGGGGAUGUUCUCACUUUACCAGCUGUUUUAUUCACUUGCCACUCACUGGUGACACUGAAAUUGAAUGCAGAAGGUUCUAAGAUUGAGGUCCCAUCUGACGUUUGUUUAGGGAAUCUGAAGACUUUGCAGCUUAGAAACUCGGUAGUUGACGGUGAUUCCAUUAAUAGGUUAAUUUCCAAUUGCCAUGUCUUAGAAGAUUUGGCUUUUUUUGAAUGUUUUCUUGCGUAUGCAAGGGAGCUCAAUAUCCAAACUCCUUCUCUUAAGAUAUUGGUUUUAGAAUUUGAUGUGGUAGAAUACAGAGGUUUCAAUUAUGUGCUGGUGAUUAAUGCUCCAAAUCUUGUUUAUUUUCAAUAUACUGACGCAGUAGCUGAAGGCUAUGCUUUGAGUAACAUGAAGUCUCUAGAAAAAGCCGAUAUUAGCAUCUAUCGGUUUGAUUCCAGUGAUUGUGAAACAAGUGCAACCCAUCUUAUUCAAGGAAUUUGCACUGUGCGGUCUCUGAGUUUAACCAUUGAUGAAGUGGUUAGUAAACUUAGUAUUCAUGUGUGAUUUUCCUUUUAACAUCAUAUAAUUUAACAUUAUAUAAUAGCUUCAAGUUUUUGGGUGCGCAGCUUUUCCGAACGUGUCGACUUCCUAUAUUUCACAACCUUAUUGAAUUUGAAUAUCAUGGUCUUGGUUUUAAUGGCAGAGAAACUUGGCUUGUGGAGUUUCUACAUUGUGUGCCUAAUCUAAAGACACUUACCCUCAAUUUUCUGGUAUGAAGUCUUUUUCUGAGUACGUGUAUUCGUUGCGAUUGAUUGUUUUAGUGUCAGUUAUAUUCACAAUUACAAUAAACUUAAAAGAAAUCGAAAGCAUGUUCGGGAUCAACUAAAUUCAUGGUACAAACCAAGUAACUUUUCUAAGUUUUCUUCUCUUGUCAUGAGUUUAGGUUGUUGCGGAAACUCAAUGGAAGGUUUUACACAUGGAAGUUCCUUCUUGUUUGUCUUUUCACCUCAAGGAGAUUAAAAUUUUGAACUUUAAGGGAGACACGCGAAUGUUUGAAAUGAUUAGUUAUUUCUUGGAUAAUGCUAUGGUUCUGGAAAAGCUCAUGAUAGGAAUGAAAACCCUGUCUGAGACACAACAAUCGACUGUCUUCUACCAGUUAUUACAGUUACCAAAGAGUUCAAAGAAAUGUCAAGUUGUGAUUUUCUAGUACUGUUUUAUGUUAUGGUUAGAACUGAUCAGUGUCUGGUUUGGUUUUGUAUAGAUGUGUUGUUUGAAAUAUACAUUUUAGUGUUAAUACCCUAUACAUUCACUAAUAGCAAUACUGAAUUUCUGAUAGUUGGUUUAUAUAUGUAUGUGUGUAUGUAUAUUUAUGGGUAUAUAUAUGUAUUGUAGCCAAAAAUAGCCUUUGAAAUUGAUAAGUAGCCCAUGAUUGGAAAAAUAGAAACAUAUUUUAAUUUGUAAGAAACAAUCGUAUGAUAUACCUUACACAAGCAGCUCUGAUAGGAAGAACAUCAGAUUGAUUUGGAACUAUUUGAGAACAAGAAAAAGGGGAGCUCUCUAGUAAUGGGGAUUUGUACAUUCGUACCAACAGCAAAGAGGGCUUCCAUUGUUCCUGUUAUAGGCUAGCUUUGGUUCAACACAGACCAUUGAAGAUGAAGGUUUGAGAACUUGAGAUUUUAGCCUGCUAGAAUGCUGGAAUUUAGCUUCCUUGAGACUGAAAUGAUGUUUAAAGAUCCCUUGAUUUGACUAUGGAACUCACACCAUUGACAACAAUGCUUGCGCCUUACAGGUCAGUCAGUGUUGAUAAUAUCCAACUCUAAACUCGUCUCCCUGGUGCAUUCCUCUGUCAAAAUAUCAUCUGAAAAUUUCGGUGUUGCGUGAAAGAAAUUUGGUGAAAUUAUCAAGGUCCCUCUAUUAAAAAAAUGAGUAAAUUAAUUCUGUAGGUAAGAAAGUGAUUAUCCCAUUAAGAAAGAAGCAAGUAACAGUAAAGACAGCGUCGUGGUUGUCAUCAGUGGUAGGUUGGCUGGUGGGAUCACCAUAAAGAGUGGAGAUAUGAUCAUGGUUUGUCAUCACUCAAUGUCACUUAAUUUCAAAAAAUCACCAAAUGAUCGUUUUAGUUUUCCUCCCACAAACUUGAAUAGACGAGGCUCAUUCGACUUAUGAGAUUGUCUACUUAAAUAUGAGAAAUUAAACUCAUAAUAUUAUGUAAAGGUAUAUGUAAUUGAUAAGAUUUGAUUUUAUAAUCUAAGAAAGUAUGUAAAUCCCUUAAUUGUAUAUAAACUUUGAUCUCUUCCAUCGAUUUAAUUUGAUAUAUACCGUCGGUUUUGAGCAACUUAAUUAUAAAUAAAAGCCUCCCCUCAUGUUUCACAUAUGGUAUUAAGGACUAAUAUUGACAUUUAACCCUAAAUCUCCUUUUUUUUCUUCCACAAUCCAAUCCGGAGGCUGUUACCUCCACCCACGGCCACUGUCGACAUAGGCUAGUGAAGCUAAACCACAAAACAGAGGCAAAAAAGUUCCGGUUCCUAUCGCCGGCCACCGCACCGGUCUGUAGUUUUCUUAUCUUAUGGCGAUGUGUAUCAAAGACAGGAUCAGUAAUUUUCCGGAUCAUAUUCGUUGUCAUAUUUUGUCAUUCCUCCCCAUUAAAGCAGCAGUUCGAACCUCUAUUAUUUCAACCAAGUGGAGAUACCUCUUUGCUUCAAUUGCUACCAUUGAAUUUGAUCGUUAUUUACUGCGUGGUUUGACCCACAGAAACGUUGACAGCUUCAAGAACUUUGUUGAUUGGUUGUUGAAAUUUCCCGAUCAAGUAAGUUUAGAUUGCUUUAGGCUACGUGAUGGGAUUUCAUGCAAUGUUGGAGAUCAUGAUUUUGAUGUUUCUGCUUGGAUAUGUGCUGCACUGUACCGUGGUGUUAAGGAAAUCGAUUUGGAACUACAUAAUCUUGGGGAUGUUUUCACUUUACCAGCUGUUUUAUUCACUUGCCACUCACUGGUGACACUGAAAUUGAAUGCAGAAGGUUCUAAGAUUGAGGUCCCAUCUGAGGCUUGUUUAGGGAAUCUGAAGACUUUGCAGCUUACACACUGGGUAGUUUUCGGUGAUGAUUCCAUUCAUAGGUUAAUUUCCAAUUGCCCUGUCUUAUAAGAUUUGGCUUUCAUUGAAUGCUUUGUUGCGAAUGCAAGGGUGCUCCAUAUCCAAAUUCCUUCGCUUAAGAGGUUGGUUUUACAUUUUGUUGCGAGCGGAGAGGUGUUCAUAGGUUGGGCCGGGCCGGGUUCGGGUCCAGUUCAACUAAAAAAUCAUGCUCAUUUAUUGGGCUCGGGCCGGGCCGGGCCCAAAAAAUGGGCCUAAAAUUUUUUUCAAACUCGACCCGGAUAAAAAUAAUAAAAUCCGGGCCCGGCUCGGCUCGCCAGUAUUAAUUUUUUUAUAUUAUAUUAUUAUUAUUUUUAAAUACAUAUAAUACAUCAAAAAUACUAAAAAUAUCAAAAUAAAUUUUCCCAACAAAUUGAAAAUAAAUUUUGAAAAAAUGUAGACUUAAAUAACACUAAGACAAAUGCAACUUAACAAGCAAUUGCUUCUAAAAUAAAAAAAAAUUAACAAAUACCUUUAAAAUAAUAAGAAAAUUAACAAUAAAUUUUUUUAUACAAUAUCUAAAUAAUAACAACAAAAUAAUAGCAACAUAAUAGUAAAAUGGUAGCAAAAUAUAGAGAAAACAACAAGAAAAUAACAUUCAAAAAUAAAAAAAAUAUGCAGAUUUUUUUUGUCCUUUAGUGAAUUUGGGCCGGGUCGAGCCGGGCUCAGGCUAAAAAUAUCUUACUCGAGGCCCGGCUCAUUUUUUAAACGGGCCUUAUUUUUUGUCUAAGCCCAUUUUUCGGGCCUAUAUUUUUGUCCAAACCCUCCCAUAUUUUGGGCGGGCCUUCGGGCCGAGCCGGGUAGCCCGGCCAUGCACACCUCUAACCUAAACUAUGGGGUGGUGAUUAAUGUUCCAAAUCUUGUUUAUUUUCGAUAUGAUCUGGCAAUAGUUGAAUGUUACAGUCAUAUGAAGUCCCUAGAAAAAGCCGACAUUUGCAUCUAUGGCUUUCAUUCCAAUUUAAGCAUUGAUGCAACUCAUCUUAUUCAAGGAAUUUGCAAUAUACGGUCUCUAAGUUUAAGCAUUCAUGAAGUGGUUAGUAAACUUAGUAUUCAUGUGUUUAUUUUCCUUUUUAACAUCAUAUUAUAUAAUAUUAUAUAAUAACUCUAAGUUUUGACUUGUGCAGAUUUUCGGAACAAGUCUGACUUCCUAUAUUUUACAACCUUGUUGAAUUCAAGUUUUGUGCGCCUAAUCUAAAAACUCUUGCCAUCAUAUUUCUGGUAUGAAGUUUUUGUCAUCAGAAACUCGAUGAAAAGCUUUAUAUAUAGAAAUUUCUUCUUGUUUGUCCUUUCACCUCAAGGAGAUUGAAUUUUUAUGCUUUGACAUACAUAUGAUUGAAAUGGUUAAUUAUUUCUCGGAUAAUGCAAUGGUUCUAGAAAAUGUUAUAAUAAAAAUAGAUCUUCGACUUAAACACAGAAAACGGAAACCAGCAACCAAUUAUUGAAGUUAUUAAAGAGUUCAAAUAAAUGUGGUUAUAAUCAUAACAUAAAAUAGUAUCAAGAAGGCCCUCUGCUGUAACAUAACAUUGACAAGAAGCUGAAAAUCCCUGCCAAACAAAUCGUACAUAAUGAUAGAAAUUUUUUUGGUUGAAGUACCCUUCUAUUAAGAAUAUGUUGAUAAAGUAAGUGGAAUAAAAUUGAAAUUUAGCAUUUUUUUUUCAUAGAUUAAAAUAAAUGUUUAUUUAAAAUUUAUAAAUAAAAAAUUGCCACGUGUCAAAAUAUUCGAAACUACCACUUGUCCUAAUUAAAAAAAUAGAAACCCAGCAACCGGCAGACGCUGGGAAAUGCUAGUAAUAAGUAAACAAGCAUUUCACGAUACCGUCUCUGUUUCGUUUCUUGCAUACUUGUUCGUUGACUUGCUUUCUUGACUACUGGGAACCAGGAAUGACCGAAGCUAUAAUCGGUGCAACCAUAGAGGUGGCUUUGUCCAAGGCUAUCUCUAUCAUCGAAGAUCAAAUCAACCUGGUAGUGACUUGGGAUUUCAAAGACGACCUCAACAAGCUUCGUUCCUCACUAGAUCUCGCUCGAGCUUUCUUGCAAGACGCGGAGAGUAGGCGAGUCGAUGAACCCAUCAAGGUUUGGCUUCAACAGCUGAGGUGUAUCGCCUAUGCUGCCGACGAUGUAUUGGAUGAGCUUGCUUAUGAAAGUCUCCGAAGAACGACGGAGGCUAACCAAAUGGGUAAAAAGGUUAGCAAUUUAUUCUCCCUCUCCAAGAAUCCCAUGGCAUUUUCUGUAAAGAUGGGUAAAAAUAUUAAGAAUAUUAGCAUGUCCAUGGAUGAAAUUAUUGAUCGAGCCUUGAAAUUCGGACUCCAACAAAGAGUUCAAAGUAUGGGUCCUGUGUUUAGUGGAAUUGGAGGCACCCAUUCCUGUAACUCAUCACGAGUUGUUGGAAGGGAAGCUGAUGUUCAGAAAAUAGUUGAUCUUUUGAUUGGCUCAAACACUGAUCACCAUGGGUUUUCGAUGGUGUCCGUAGUAGGUAUGGGAGGCUUGGGUAAAACUACUUUAGCCAAGUCUGUUUGUAACAAUGAGAAAGUGCAGAACUGUUUUGGUGAAAUAAUUUGGGUCUGUGUGGCUGAAACUUUCGAUGUUCGAAGGAUUUUAUCAGAGAUCUUAGAAUCUCUAACUAGAAAACCUUGUGAAAUCAAGAAUGAUGAUGUUGUGGUUAGAGAAAUACAGAAGAAGUUGAAAGGCAAAAGCUUCCUUCUUGUGCUUGAUGAUGUGUGGGAUGAGGAUAUUAAAAACUGGGGGGACUUAAAAGGUAGUUUGUUGGGGAUAAAUGAAAGUAAACAAAGUUGCAUUCUUGUUACUAGUCGUAGUGAAAAUGUGGCAGUGGUGAAAGAAACCCUCCCUGAGUACAGGCAUCAUCUGAAGACAAUGGUGGAUGAGGAGUGUUGGUCCAUAAUCAGAGAUAGUGCCUUCGGAAACUCUUCUGUAUCACAAGAAUUAGAAGUUAUAGGGAGGGAUAUUGCCCGUAAAUGUUCAGGUGUGCCAUUGGUGGCAAAUGUUAUAGGGAGCACAAUGUGCAACAGAUGGGAUAGGGAUGAAUGGGUGUCACUCAGGGAUAGUUCUCUUUGGGGUUCUUUGGAAAGGAAUGAAGGGAUUGUACGUGUUCUGAAAUUGAGUUUUGAUCGCUUGUCUUCCCCAUCUUUGAAGCAGUGUUUUGCAUAUUGUUCCAUCUUUCCUAAGGAUUUUAGGAUCCAAAAGGACCAAUUGAUCCAGCUUUGGAUGGCUGAAGGCUUUCUUCAGCAAUCCAGGAUAAGUUCCCAGCAGCCGGCCGUUGAGGAUAUCGGCAAUGAAUACUUCAAUGCGUUGCUAUCAAAUUCCUUAUUGCAGGAUGUGGAGCGGGAUCAAUACGGUUGCAUUACAACAUGUAAGAUGCAUGAUUUAGUUCAUGAUCUUGCACAAUCCAUUUCUCAUAUUAGACUAGGAAACAUCGUUAAUGGUGUGAGACUGUGGCACUCUUUGUUCUCCAAUUCUAGCUCCAUCCAUGCUGUAAGGGACUUCAAAAGCUUACGAGUUCUUAUUUUUUGCGGUGCUCCCAUUGUCUCCUUGUCACACUCAAUUGGCAGGCUAAAGCAUUUAAGAUACUUUGACAUUUCAAGAACUUACAUAUGUAGAUUACCAAAGUCCAUCAGCCAGCUUUACCAUUUGCAGACAUUAAGAUUAUCGGGUUAUGAAGGGCACAUGCCUGAAGGAAUGGAAAAUCUAGUAAAUUUGAGGCAUCUGUAUAUUGGUCAUUAUAGAACUGUUCCUUAUAAGAUAGGAUGUCUAACUAAUCUUCAAACUUUGCCAAUAUUUAGAGUGGGUACAGAAAGGGGAAGUGGAAUUGGUGAAUUGGGAGGUUUAGUUGAAUUUGGUGGAGAACUAGUCAUAUUCAAUCUUCAGAAUGUUAGAAAUGAAGGAGAAGCUAGGGAAGCAAAAUUGUUGGAGAAAAAGAAACUACAUGAGUUAGAAUACCUUUGGGGCUAUAACAGGGAAGAAUCUUGCAACGACGAGGAAGUACUGGAAGGAUUGGAACCUCACUCAAAUUUGAAAAGCUUAAGUAGUAUGUACUAUAAUGGAAGGCACUAUCCAUCAUGGUUGGCAAGGUUUACUAAUAUUAGUGGUCCAAGUGCUUGUUUUCAACCCAUCAAUUUGGUGAAGUUGAAGCUGUCUAAUUGUAAGAAUUUAGAGAAACUGCCAACUCUUGGGCACUACCCCAAUCUCAAAAUUCUUGAAGUAGAAGGUUUAAAUAAUGUGAGGUGCAUUGGAAAAGAAUUUUAUGUCAGUGAUGAUGACAGUAGUUCUGAUAAGAAUAAGCCAAUCACCUUAUUUCCAGCAUUGGAAAAGUUGAGCCUGUGGAAUAUGGAAGAAGUAGAAGAAUGGUUAGAAGUGGAACCAACAGUUACUGUGUUUCCUUCACUAAAAGAGCUACAUAUUGAAGGUUGCUGCAAGCUAAGCAGUGUUCCAAGAAUGAGUAGACUUUCUUGUCUUGAGGCACUCACUAUUACAGGUAACAAUGCAUUAAGUUGUAUAGGAGAUGAACAAUUUCCCUUUCCCUCUAGCCUCAAAAAAUUCACCAUACAGAGGUGCUAUAAGUUAACGACAGUUCCAAGUGUAGAGGGCGGUAUCUCUUUUCUUCAGCAUCUUGAGGUGAAGCUUUGUGACCGGUUAUGUAAAAUAGGACAAGGAUUACUUACUUCCACAUGUCUAAGAGUUGUGGUCAUAUGUGACUGUCCUAAUUUGAUCUCCAUUCCAGUAUAUGGCAUAUCUGAAUCUCUUGUGAAGCUUGAGUUGGAUCAUUGUUGAGGAUUACGGGAGGUAGAGGGUGCGUUAUCUGCAUUCACAAGGUUGGAAACAUUACGGAUAGGAAACUGUCUUAAUCUGAUUCCCAUUCCCCUUCCCAGUUUAGAUGUUUUCUCCUCUCUUAUACAAUUAUCGCUGGAAGGAUGUCACAGAUUAACGAGUCUACCAAGUGGAUUGCGAAGCUGUACUUGUCUUCAGUUUUUGGUCGUGGACUAUUGCACUGAUCUGGAGUCGAUUCCAGAAGAUUUAGGGCGAUUGAUUCUCUGAAGGAACUGUGUAUCUUGAGUUGUCAAAACUUGAAGAGUGUUCCAGAGGACAGCCUUAGGUGCCUCACCCGUUUGAAGACAUUGAAAUUGGGUCCUUUCUCACAAGAGCUAGAUGAAUUCCCAGGUCUUAGUUCCAUCCACCACCUCCACUCUUCCCUUGAAAUUUUGACAUUGAAUGGAUGGGAAAAACUAUGCUCGCUGCCUUAUCAACUUCAACACCUAGCCGCACUAAAGUAUUUAAUUAUUUCUGGAUUUGAUGGAGUCACAACUUUACCUGAGUGGUUGGGAAACCUCUCCUCUCUUCAAGAUUUGACAAUAGAUUUUUGUCGAAAUCUUGAGGAUCUGCCAUCUAAGGGAGCCACAUAUCGCCUCUCCAAUAUUCAACAUCUUUCUAUUACAAACUGUCCAAGAUUAAAAGGAGACCGGACUUACAUCAGCAAGAGGUUCAAGAUCCCUGCCAACCAAAUCGAAGUCUAUGAACAUUAAAAAUGUAAGUUCAAGUCUCAUCGAUAUGCUCCUAUAAUAUUCACAAUACAUCCUAAUGAAAGAAAUUUCUUUCAUGCAACACUGAAAUUUUGAGAUGAUAUUUUGACUGAAGGAUGCACCAGAGAGAAGACGAAUUCCUAGGUUGCAGUCAACUUCAACAUCCCGGGCCACCACCUCAACUCAUCCCAUUGAACCCUUGAGAUUGAAUGGACCGGAACAACCAAGCUCUCUUCCAUGUCAACUUCAACAUCUCACUGCAUACCGGCAUGGAAAGGACUGAAAAAGCUCUCUUCUGCUUCAGUUUUGAGAAUUUCUGAUUGUAAGAACCUUGUGCAACUGUCAUCUGAUAAAGCUAUACAACACCUCUCCAAUCCAGUUGAAUACCUUAAAGUUUUAGUCAUCCUUGAUGAAACCAAUGCUAGUAAGUUCCACAAAUUUUGUCCUUGUUUUUCCCUUGUCAGAAAUUCUUUUGUUCUUUUCCAAAAAGUAGAUUAAUUGUAAGUUUCUCUACCUUAUAUGCAUAAUCUUUGCUUUGUCUUUUUUUCCUUUGUCUUUUGUUUCAGUUUUGUGGGGGCAACAAAUUAUUAUUUGCUUGUAUUGAGCUUUUUGAAGAACCUGAGAUUAUAUGAUAAACAAAGUGGGACCAGUUGACCUAGGAACUACUAUGGAGCGGUUGAACCGGAAAUUUUUUUUGUUUUUAUGAAUUUUUUGAUAAUUUGUUUAAUCAAACUGGUUGAACCAACAAACUGGUAUCACCGGUCCGAUUUUGAAAACUUUGGUCAAAACCUUACUAGUUCAAACAGUUGUUUUAGGUUCUAUAAACUGAUUCGUUGUUUGAUUUGUAUCUGAAAAUCUGCCUACUCUUGUAAUAUCUCGUUAUGGUUUUAGUCCAAUGAACAUAUAGUUGAUAAAUCUUUUGUUUUUAUACGAUGUUUUUAUGUUGUUUAAGUACAAACGUUGCUGACAUGGAUCACGUUUUUGUUUGAAGUUGUUUGAGAUUAGAGCAACAAACAUAUCACUGCACAAAUAAUUUCUGCUAACAUUUCUGGUGAUAUGGUUCUUGCUUUGGCUUUCUCCCACGAGCUUCCUUGUUAUGGACUUGAAGUCGGUCUUACAAACUAUGCUGCAGGUAAUGUUAUUUAUUUCACCUGGAUUGUGCAUUGAUAAAUCAGUUUCGUGUCAUAUGCUCUUUUUUUUUUUUUUUUGUAUAUUUGGCCAGCUUAUUGCACUGGAUUACUUUUGGGACACCGUGUCCUUAACUUACUUGAAAUGGACGAUGAAUAUUGAGGCAGUGUGGAGGUAUUAUACAUAUACGAUCAUGCUACCGUAUAUCUGGUUUAUUUUCGCCUAGUUUCUUUAUUGAAGGUUUGUAUAUUUCUAGGCUACCGGAGAGGAUUUCUCGGUUGAACCAACUGACACAAAGAGGCCUUUUCGAGCUGUCCUCGAUGUUGGACUGAUCAGGACAGCAACUGGAAACCACGUUUUUGGUGCACUAAAGGUAUCAUAAAAAUCGAAUUGCAAGUUUACCUGUUUUAGAUAGGGCUGUUGGGUGUUGGCUUAUAGAUGUGAUUCAGAGUGAUCAUUUCAUUUCUUUUUUGUUGCAAACUGUCCACUUCUGUAACAUGAUCGUUGUUAGUUUGUACUGUUUUCCAUUAGUAUUUCGGUGUGUAGCUUUCCUUUGAGUUACCCUUUUCUUUGUAAGCUUGGAUGGGGCUAAGGAGACCACUUCAUAGCUGAAAUAUUUAUACAUGCCUUUUAAGCAUUCAAUUUUCAAUUUUCGAUUUUGGCCUAGAGUUCAAUCGUUAUUGUUAGUUUGUACUGUUUUCCAUUAGUAUUUCCGUGUACAGCUUUCCUUUGAGUUAACCUUUUCCUUGUAUGCUUGGAUCGGGCUAAGGAGACCACUUCAUAGCUGAAAUAUUUUUGCGUGCGAUCAACUUGAAGAAGCUGACGUAUGAGGAAAGGAAAGCUAAGUUGAUUGAACGAUUACACACACUGAAUGCCGCUGCCGGUGCGGAUUCCAAAGACGAGGAUUGAAUGUAGGAUGCUGAUUUCAAAAAUACUGAACUUGUUUACCUGCUUUUAGUCAAAUCAGGGGUGGUUAUGUUCCAUUAUCUUCAAACAUCAGUUCAUCACAGAGAGGCUAAAUUCCUCUAUUCUAACAGGUUAAAUCCCAAAGUUCUCAAACCUUCAUCUUCAAUGGCCUGUCUUGAAUCAAAGUUAGUUGCCUGUAACAAGAACAAUGGAAGCCUACUUUGAUGCUUAUAAGAAUGUACAAAUCUCCAUAGCUUGAUGUUCCUUUUCUCUAAUAGCUUCUUCUGUAAUGUAUAUAAUUUCAAACAUAUGUGUAUCUCCUUGAAUUGAAAUGAUAAACAAGAGGAAACUUCUCUUGGCAAAGCCUUCAAUUGAGUUUACGCAACAGCUUAAGCUCAUGUGAGAAAAGAAGAGAAAUGUUAUAUGGUUUGUAAUAUGAAUUUUGGUGAUAUCGAACAUGUUUUCCAUUUCUUUUUAGGUUUAUCGUAAUUGUAAAUAUAACUGACACUAAACCAAUUAAUUGCUUGUAACGAAUACGAGUACUUAAAUCAAACUUUAUACGAGAUUGAUAAUAAGAUUGAUAAUAAGUGUCUUCAGAUUAAGCGCACAUAUCAUAUCUUGUUCAUUUCUUCUGGAGAUGAUGGGGCUUACAUACUUCAUACUUGAUCAAUCAAGAAAAGACAUGAAAGAAUCGUACAGGUAUUAAAUAUGACAUUUACUCUGUAUAUGUAUUAUAUUGCAGAUUGGGUAAAAGUUAAGGGACCAAUUUUGGUAUUAACCUUAAAUCUUAUAUAAAGGUACGGAAAUACGAAAUUACUUGUCUCUUGUCACAUUUAACACUAAUUUUUUGCAUCACUAGCCUUUCUACGAAAGCAUAGACAUUUCUCUUUCUUCACCGCCACUCAACGGCCGCCGUCAGCGUUCUCAGCUCGGCUUACCGGACCUCCUCUAUACUCAAGUCUUCAAAGUUUGCUCCGAAGGCAGACAUAAGCUAGUGAAGCCGAACCACAAAACAAAAGCGGAAAACACUCCGGUUCCUAUCGCCGGCCGUCGGACAGGUCUGUAGUUUUCUUAUCUUAUGGCGAUGUGUGUGGAAGACAGGAUCAGUAGUUUCCCUGAUCAUAUUCUGUCAUAUUUUGUCAUUCCUUCCCAUCGAAGAAGCAGUUCGAACCUCUAUUAUUUCAACCAAGUGGAGAUACCUCUUUGCUUCAAUUUCUACCAUUAAAUUUGAUGGUCAUUUAAUGAGGGGUUUGACUGACAGAAAUGUUGACAGCUUCAAGAACUUUGUUGAUAGGUUAUUGAAAUUCCCCGAUCAGGUAAGUUUAGAUUGCUUUAGGCUAGAUGAUAUUGUUUCAUGGAAUGAUAAAGAUCGUAAUUUUGAUGUUUCUGAUUGGAUAUGUGCUGCAUUGUGCCGUGGUGUUAAGGAAAUUGAUUUGGACUUAGACAAUCUUGGGGAUAUUUUACCAGCUCUUUUAUUCACUUGCCACUCACUGGUGACAUUGAAGUUGGUUGCAGUAGGUUCUGAGAUUACGGUCCCAUCUGACGUUUGUUUAGGGAAUCUGAAGACUUUGCAGCUUAGAAACGCCUCAUUUGUAGGUGAUUCCAUUCAUAGGUUAAUUUCCAAUUGCCAUGUCUUAGAAGAUUUGGCUUUUAUUCAUUGUGAUUCUGAUUAUUUGCGUGAGGUCAAUAUCCAAAGUCCUUCGCUUAAGAGAUUGGUUUUAGAUUUUGAUCUUGGAGAAUCUGGAAAUUUAGAUUAUGUGGUGGUGAUUAAUGCGCCAAAUCUUGUUUAUUUUCAAUAUACUGACGCAGUAGUUGAAGGCUAUACUUUGACUAACAUGAAGUCUCUAGAAAAAGCCCGUCUUAACAUCUGCGAGAAUGAUUCCAUUGAUUGUGAAACAAGUGCAACUCAUCUUAUUCAAGGAAUUCGCAGUGUGCGGUCUCUAAGUUUAACCACUGAUGAAGCGGUUAGUAAACUUAGUAUUCAUGUGUGAUUUUCCUUCUAACAUUAUACAAUUUAACAUUAUAUAAUAGCUCCAAGUUUUUGUCUGUCCAGAUUUUCCGAACAAGUCAACUUCCUAUAUUUCACAACCUUAUUGAAUUCGAAUAUGGUGGUCAUGGUUUUAAUGGGAUAGAAACUUGGCUUGUGGAGUUUCUACAUUGUGCGCCUAAUCUAGAGACACUUAACCUCAAUUUUCCGGUAUGAAGUCUUUAUCUAAGUUCGUGUGUAUUCGUUGCAGUUGAUUGUUUUAGUGUCAGUUACAUCCACAGUUACGAUAAAUUUAAAAGAAAUCGAAAGCAUGUUCGAGAUCACCUAAAUUCAUGGUACAAACCAAAUAACUUUUCUUCUUUUUUCAUGAGUUUAGGUUGAAGCGGGAACUCGAUGGAAGGCUUUACCUAUAGAAGUUCCUUCUUGUUUGUCAUUUCAUCUAAAGGAGAUUGAAAUUUCAUGCUUUGUGACACAUAUGAUUGAAAUGGUUAGUUAUUUCUUGGAUAAUGCAAUGGUUUUGGAAAAUCUCAUAAUAAGAACGAAGGGCCUGUCUGUGACACAGACAAGGAAAGUCAGCAACCAAUUAUUGCAGUUACUAAAGAGUUCAAAGAAAUGUCUAAUUGUGAUUUUGUAGUACUGUUUUAUAUUAUGGUUAGAACUUAUCAGUGUCUGAUUUGGUUUUGUAUAGAUGUGUUGUUUGUAAUACAUAUUUCACUGUUACUAUCCGAUACAUUCACUAAUCGCAGUAGACUAUACCUGAUGGUUGGUUUAUAUGUAUGUGUAUGUAUACUUGUGUAUAUAAUGUAUUGUAGCCGAAAGUAGCCUUUGAAAUUGAUAUUUAGCCCAAUGAUUAGCAAAAUAGAACCAUAUUUUAAUUUGUAAGAAACAAUCGUAUGAUAUGCGUUACACAACAAGCUCUGAUAGGAAGAAUAUCAGAUUGAUUUGGAGCUAUUUUAGAACAAGAAAAAGGGGAGCUCUCUAGCUAUAGAGAUUUGUACAUUCUUACCAACAGCAAAGGAUGCUUCCCUUGUUCCUGUUAUAGGCUAGCUUUGGUUCAACACAGGCCAUUGAAGAUGAAGGUUUGAGAACUUGAGAUUUUAGCAUGCUAGAAUACUGGAAUUUAGCUUUCCUAGGACUGAAAUGAUGUUUAAAUGAUGCUUGCGCCUUACAGGUCAGUCAGUGUUGAACAGUUUUCGAAGGCAACUGAAUUGUCAGAUUCUUGUGAAAUGCAAAUUCGGUUGAGUCAAAAUAUUUUAAUUUAAUAGGGGUUUGGAUUUUUAUUUUUAUUUUUUGCAUUUUUGUGGCUGAAAAUUAUAAAUUUUAUAAUCUAAUCCAUCUUUCCUCUCUUAUUUGCUAGCAACUUUUGAUGUAUUUAUGGUGUUCUUGUGAUUGAAUGUCACAAAUAUGCUAGCAACUUAUGAUUUUAUCGAAAUUUUGAAUAAUCCAAUGAUGAUUUUAUAAUUUUUCAAAAUUUAAUGUUUAAAAUGUAUAUUUACUAAAAGAUUAGUAAUUUUGGAUUUAGUUUAUACAAAACCAAAUCAGGUACCAAUAAGUUUUAACCAUAACAUAAAAUAGUACAAAGAAACCCCUACAGUGUAAGCAAAUUUUACUCUAAUACACUCCUAUAAUAUUCACAAUACACAAUGAUAGAAAUUUCUUGGUAGAAGUACCAUCAAGGUCCCUCUACUAAGAGUUAAAUUACAUUUUGCCUCUUUUAUUUAAGAAAAUGAGUAAAUUAGUCUCGUUAUAUUAGAUCAAAAAGCAUAUUGAUUAUUUUUGCUAAAAAUAUCAUCCCUAAAACCAGACAUGACUGACAAAAUAAUCAUGUUACGACUCACAUGUAUCUCAAGCUAAUGACUUAUAAGAAUAAAUUUUUAAUAGUAGGAAUGGAUGAAAAUUUUAAUAGAAAGAUCAAUUUACUUUUUAAUUUAACAUAUAAGAAUAAAUUUACUUAUUUUUUUAGGUAAAGGGGUCAAAAUAUAAUUUAACUUUUAGUAAAAAGGCCUUGAUGAUACUUUUCCCAAAUUAGUUUAGAGUUGAUAUUAUCAAAACUGACAGACCUGUAAGGCGCAAGCUUUGGUAUCAAUGGUGUGAGUUCUAUAAUCAAAUUAAGGGAUCUUCAAACAUUAUUUCAUUCCUAGAGAAUCUAAAUUCCAGUAUUCUGGCAGGCUAAAAUCUAAAGCUCUCAAACCUUCAUUUCCAAUGACCUGUGUUGAAUCAAAGCUAGCCUACAACAGGAACACUGGAAGCGUAGGCUUUCUUUUGGUUACGAUACAUAUAUAUUUAUGCAUAUACUUUUGUUUGAAUUCGUUGGUAACUGCAAUAACUGUUUGCAAACUUUCCAUUACCGUCUCCCAGACAGGGUUCACAUCCUUAUCAUGAGCUUUUCCAGUACCAUUGCAUUAUCAAAGAAAUAAGUAAUCAUUUCAAACAAACAAGAAGGACCUUGUAUAGGUAAAACCUUCCAUGGGGUUUCCACACCAUCCUAAACUCAUGAAAAAAGAAGAAUAGUGAUUUUGUUUGUACCAUGAAGUUAAGGUGAUCUCGAACAUGCUUUUGGUUUCUUCUAAGUUCAUCGUACUAGAACAAUCAAUUUCAUACCAGCAGAGUGAGGGUAAGUGUCAUGGCAAGUAAAUGAAAGAGCUGGUGAAGUGAGAACAUCCCCAAUAUUAGCUAAAUGUAAAUCACUUUCCUUAACAUCAUGGCACAAUGCAGUCAUUCCAAGAAAUCCCAUACCCGAUUGGGGGAUUUCAAUAACCUAUCAACAAAGUUGUUGAAGCUGUUAACAUUUCUGUCAGUCAAACUUCAAUGCGUUGCUAUCAUGUUCCUUAUUGCAGGAGGUGGAGCAGGAUCAAUAUGGUCGCAUUACAACAUGUAAGAUGAAUGAUUUAGUUCAUGAUCUUGCAAAUCCAUUUCUCAUAUUAGACAAGAAAAUGUUGUCAAUGGUGUGGGAUUGUGGCACUCUUUGUUCUUCGAGUCUAGCUCCAUCCGUGCUGUAAGGGACUUCAAAAGCUUACGAGUUCUUAUUUUUUGUGAGUCUCCUUGUCACUCUCUAUUGGCAGGCUAAAGCAUUUAAGAUACUUUGAGAUUUCAAGAACUUACAUAUGUAGAUUACCAAAGUCAUCAGCCAGCUCUACCAUUUGCAGACAUUCAAGAUUAUUUGGUUUUCAAGGGUGCUUGCCUGAAGGGACGGAACUACUUGUUCCAGUUACUAACCAAUUUGGUCUGAUCUGGUUGAACUAUGUAAGGUGACAUCCAAUCAUCCAUGUCGUAAUAAACUGACCAACCUGUGAAGCACAAGCAUUGGUGGUGUGAGUUCCAUAGUCAAAUCAGGGGUGGUGAUGUCUCAUUAUCUUCAAACAUCAAUUCAUCACAGAGAGGCUAAAUUUCAGUAUUCUAACAGGCUAAAUCCCAAAGUUCUCAAACCUUCAUUUUCAAUGGCCUGUCUUAAACCAAAGUUUGUAGUAGCCUUUAACAGGAACAAUGGAAGCCUUCUUUGCUGCUUAUAAGAAUGUAUAAAUCUCCAUCGCUUGAUGUUCCUUUUCUCUUAUGUACAUAGCUUGAUGUUCCGUUUCUCUUACAGCUUCUUGUGUAAUGUAUAUAAUUUCAAACAUAUGUGCAUCUCCUUGAAUUGAAAUGAUAAACAAGAAGAAACUUAUCUUGGUAAAGCCUUCAAUAUAGUUUUCCCAACAGCCCAAGCUCAUGAGAAAAAAGAAGAAAAAUGUUAUCUGGUUUGUAACAUGGAUUUAGUCGAUCUCGAACAGGUUUCCAUUUCUUUUUUAAGUUUAUCCUAAUUGUGAAUAUAACUGACACUAAGCCAAUCAAUGGAUCGCUGAUAAGUAUAUUUAGAUUAGGCACACAUAUCAUGUCUUGUUCAUUUCCUCUGGAGAUGAUGGGGCUUACAUACUUCAUACUUGAUCAAUCAAGAAAAGACAUGAAAGAAUAGUACAGGUAUUAAAUAUGACAUUUACUUUGUAUAUGUAUUAUAUUGCACAUUGGAUAAAAGUUAAGGGACCAGUUUUGAUAUUAACCUUAAAUCUUAUAUAAAGGUACGGGAAAACGAAAGUAGUCAUCUCUUUUCACAUUUAACACUAAUUUUUUGCAUCCCUAGCUGCUUCUACGAAAGCAUUCUUCACAGCCACACAUGACAGUCGUCAGCGUGCUCAGCUCAGCUUCCCGGACCUCCUCUAUACUCAAGUCUUCAAAGUUUUCUCAGAAGCCAGACAUAAGCUAGUGAAGCCGAACCACAAAACAAAAGCGAAAAACACUCCGGUUCCUAUUGCCGGCCGUCGGACAGGUCUGUAGUUUUCUUACCUUAUGGCGAUGUGUGUGGAAGACGGGAUCAGUAGUUUUCCUGAUCAUAUUCUUUUUCAUAUUUUGUCUUUCCUUCCCAUUAAAGAAGCAGUUCGAACCUCUAUUAUUUCAACCAAGUGGAGAUACCUCUUUGCUUCAAUUUCUACCAUUAAAUUUGAUGGUUAUUUAAUGCGUGGUUUGACUGACAGAAAUGUUGACAGCUUCAAGAACUUUGUUGAUAGGUUAUUGAAAUUCCCCGAUCAGGUAAGUUUAGAUUGCUUUAGGCUAAAUGAUAUUGUUUCAUGGAAUGAUAAAGAUCAUAAUUUUGAUGUUUCUGGCUGGAUAUGUGCUGCAUUGUGCCGUGGUGUUAAGGAAAUUGAUUUGGACUUAAAGAAUCUUGGGGAUACUUUACCAGCUCUUUUAUUCACUUGCCACUCACUGGUGACACUGAAAUUGGAUGCAGUAGGUUCUGAGAUUAAGGUGCCAUCUGACGUUUGUUUAGGGAAUCUGAAGACUUUGCAGCUUAGAAACUCGGUACUUUUCGGUGAUUCCAUUCAUAGGUUAAUUUCCAAUUGCCAUGUCUUAGAAGAUUUGGCUUUUAUUGAAUGUGGUUUUGAUAAUAUAAGUGAGGUCAAUAUCCAAAGUCCUUCGCUUAAGAGAUUGGUUUUAGAGUUUGAUGUGACAGAAGGCAGAUAUUUCAAUUUUGUGGUGGUGAUUAAUGCUCCCAAUCUUGUUUAUUUUCAGUAUCAUGCCGCAGUAGCUAAAAGUUAUAUUUUGAGUACCAUGAAGUCCCUAGAAAAAGCCGAUAUUAGCAUCUAUCAGUUUGAUUCCAUUGAUUGUGAAACAAGUGCAACUCAUCUUAUUCAAGGAAUUUGCAAUGUAUGGUCUCUAAGUUUAACCAUUGAUGAAGUGGUUAGUAAACUUAGUAUUCAUGUGUUUGUUUUUCCUUUUAACAUUAUAUAAUAUAACUUUAUAUGAUAGCUCCAAGUUUAUGUGUGUGCAGAUUUUCAGAACAAGUCGACUUCCUAUAUUUCACAACCUUAUUGAAUUCAAAUAUCUUGGUGUUGGUUUUAAUGGGAGAGAAACUUGGCUUGUGGAGUUUCUACAUUGUGUGCCUAAUCUAAAGACACUUACCCUCAAUUUUCCGGUAUGAAGUCUUUGUCAUUGUUUUAGUGUCAGUUACAUCCACAAUUACAAAAAACUUUAAAAAAAUAGAAAGCAUAUUCGAGAUCACCUAAAUUCAUGGUACAAACCAAAUAACUUUUUUUCUUUUUUCAAGAGUUUAGGACGAUGCGGGAACUCGAUGGAAGGCUUUACGUAUGAAAGUUCCUUCUUGUUUGUCAUUUCACCUCAAGGAGAUUGAAAUUUCAUACUUUGACACACAUAUGAUUGAAAUGGUUAGUUAUUUCUUGGAUAAUGCAAUGGUUCUGGAAAAGCUCAUAAUAAGUAUGGCUGCCCUGACUUGGAGACAGAAAUGUGAAGCGCAGAACAAAUUAUUGCAGUUACUAAAGCGUUCAAAGAAAUCUCUAAUUGUGAUUUUGUACUACUGUUUUAUAUUAUGGUUAGAACUUAUCAGUGUCUGGUUUGGUUUUGUAUAGAUGUCUUGUUUGUGAUAUAUAUUUCACUAAUGGCAAUACAGUAUAUCUGAUGGUUGGUUUAUAUCCAUGUGUGUAUGUAUAUUUAUGUAGCUUUUGAAAUUGAUAUCUUAACCAUUGAGGAACCAGCUAGUUAACUUUGUUUUUCAUGUCAGUGUAUUGAGUAUUGAAUAUCUUAACAUUGUAUAAUAGUUUCAAGCUUUUGUAUACAACUUCUCCAAACGAGUCUCGAUCCAGUGCUUGCAUGUCAUAACCUUUUCGAAUUGGAAUUUCAUAAUGAGGGUGCUGAUUGGAGAGGAACUUGGCUUGUGGAGUUUCUACAUUGCGAUCUGGUAUGAAGUCUUGUUUAAGUAUUUGUAUUCGUUGCAAUUUACAUUCACAAUAAAAAGAAAUCGAAAAUAUGUUCACAAACCAGAUAACAUUUCUCUUCUUGUUUACCAUUGAGUUUAGGCUGUUACGAAAACCAGAUUACUUGCCUCUGCAUGUCUAAGUUCUGUGGUCAUAUGUAAGUGUCCUAAUUUGAUCUCCAUUCCAAUAUAUGGCAUAUCAGAAAAUCUAUUGUUCAAAAGCCAUAUUCUUUUCCAAAAGUACAUUAACUGAAUGUUUCUUUUCGAACCAUUUCUUACCUGCAUGUGAUUUUGUGAUAAACAAAGUGAAACAACACUGCAUGUGAUUUCCAUUUAUGCAUGGUUUAACAAAUGUUUCGAUUUCUGGAACUACAUGUUCCAGUGACUAACCAAUUUGGUCUGUGCUGAGACUCGGCAUCGGGUGACAUCCAUGUCGUAAUAAACUGAUCAACCUGUGAAACACAAGCAUUGGUGGUGUGAGUUCCAUAGUCAAAUCAGGGGUGGUGAUGUCCCAUUGUCUUCAAACAUCAGUUCAUCACAGAGAGGCUUAAUUCCAGUAUUAUAACUGGCUAAAUCCCAAAGUUCUCGAACCUCCAUCUUCAAUGGCCUGUCUUGAACCAAAGUAAGAAUGAAUGUACAAAUCUCCAUAGCUUGAUGUUCCUUUCACAGCUUCUUGUGUAAUGUAUAUCAUUUCAAGCAUAUGUGUAUCUCCUUGAAUUGAGAUGAUAAACAAGAAGAAACUUCUCAUGGUAAAGCCUUCAAUCGACUUUUCCUAACAGCCUACACUCAAUGAGAAAAAAGAAGAGAAAUGUUAUCUGAUCUGUAACUCGGAUUUAGGUGAUAUCUAACAUGUUUUUCAUUUCUUUUUAAGUUUAUUGUAAUUGUAAAUGCAACUGGCACUAAAACAAUCAAUUGCUUGCAACAAAUACGGGUACUUGAACAAAACUUAAUACUAGACCGACGAUUAGUGUCUUUAGAUUAGACACAUUUAUUAUCUUGUUCAUUUCUUUUGGAGCCGCUUACGUCACGGGCCAGUUGUGAUCAUUGUAUAAAAUGCGUCUCAUGGAGGUUAAUCGGUUAGAUAGAGUUUAAAAUUGUUACAAUUUAGCGUUUUGUAGAUAUACUACGGCCCUCUUGAAAAUAUAAGUAGGUCACCCAAUAUUUAAGAUUUUUGUAAUUUUCCCCUUUGUAAAUAUACUAUAGCCCUUUAAAAAUAUAAAUAGGUUCCCUCCAAUAUUUUAAUAGUAUUAAAAACAUAAUUUAAAAAAUUAUUCUUGAUAAAAAUAAAAGGAAAAUUUUCUUGAAUAAGUUAAAUUAUUCAUGAUAACUUUUAAAUAAUAUUUUUGUUAAAUAAUAAUUUAAUAUUUAUUUAAUAUUUUACUUAAAAUAAUAACAUGUUAUAAGUAAUAUAAUAAUAAUAUAUAUAAAGAAAAGAAAAGAUGAAUAUAUUUUUAUCAUUGUUUUUCUUUAUAUUCGUGCCUAGCUUUCCCCAUCAUUUUUCCACCAAAUUUUAAGUAUAAGCUAUGUUUUUUUUUUCAAAUUUUUCAGGAUUUUGAAUAUUUAAACCUUGUUUUUUUAUAUAUAUAUAUAUGUACUAAUAGUUUUUUAUUUUAUUUUAUCAAGUGUAUUAAAAGUUGCCAUUAAAGGAUAUUGAUAUAAGCUUAUAAAAUUAAGUGAAAUAUGUAUGUUUUUAGAUCGAAAAUAAUUAAGAGACGAUUUCUAGUUUGUUAGAAGUGUAAAAACGAAACAAAAGUAGCUAGAUGAUGUUAUAGUAAGUUUCUGCCAAAGUGAAGGAGAGAAAGAAAACCAUAACUAUUUUGUUAUUUAAAAUUAUAUCAAAUGAUAGCUUGUAAAACAAUGAGUAUUCUGGUGAAAAUGAAAUAAAAAAUGGUUAACUGAGUCGAAAGUUAUAUGAAUUUCAGAUCAAGAAACUUAAGAUCUCAACUUGAUAAACCAAGUAUAUUCAAGCUUGUCAUCAGUAGUUAAUUUACUAUAUCUAACUAUAUUAGUUUUAUUUUUAUGAAUUUUGAAUGAUUUAAUUAGUAUCUAAAAGAUUAUGUUUCGAAUUGAAAACUAUGAUUUCAAUUAUAAAAUUAGUAAAUUCUUAAUUUUGAUUUUAAAUCGAAUUUGAAUAUUAUGAUUUCGAAUGGUUGAGCAAGCACAAAUAUGAGUAUGUUUGAUUAAAAGUAAAUAUUGUAUAUUACCAAUUUAUGAUUUUAUAUUUUACGGUACAUCAUUCAGCGAUGUUAUCUUUAAAAAAAAUAAUUUUCUGGCUUUGUCUCUGUAGCUAAUCUUUGAAAAAUGAAAUUAAUAGCCUAAUGAUUUAAACAAAAAAUUUAUGACUUAAAUGAUAACUUUUGAAUAAUUUAAGGAUCAUUUUUUAAUUUUUUUUUAAAAUUAAAUGACUAAAAUAUUAAUUUAUUAAUAACUUAAUGACCUUGGUGUAAUUUGCAAAAGAAACUAAAAAGGGAAAAUAAAUAGCAAAACAAAUGUACGGGACAGCAAAAUAUCCCCCACCAAAAAUAAGAACAGAUCCAUUGACCAAUAAAAUACCCUAAACCAUCCACCUGCUCCCAAUUUGUUUAUUUUUUUCAUUUUCACCUAAUAAUGGAAGGCGGUGGACCACCACAGGCGGCGGACACUGAGAUGGCGGAGCAACCCAACCCACAAAACCACCAGCAACAGCCGCCACAAAUGGCAAUUGGGUUGGAGAAUAUCCCGGCAACUCUUAGCCAUGGCGGGAGGUUUAUUCAGUAUAAUAUAUUCGGUAACAUUUUUGAGGUCACUGCUAAAUAUAAACCUCCUAUUAUGCCCAUUGGUAAAGGAGCCUAUGGUAUCGUAUGGUAAACUCAGCUUUCUGAUUUCACCUUAGUUAUUUGAUUGGGUUUUGUUAAUUAAUGAAAUUAUGAUUUAAAUUUUUUCCCGAUUUUUUUGAGUAGUUCUGCGUUGAAUUCCGAGACAAAUGAACAAGUGGCGUUGAAGAAGAUAGCGAAUGCUUUUGAUAACAAAAUUGAUGCUAAGAGAACUCUUCGUGAGAUCAAAUUGCUUCGUCACAUGGAUCAUGAAAACGUCAGUGAGUGGAAAUUGAUAUAAUUCCCCCCCUUUUAAAAAAAAAAAGAUUUAAUUCGAUACAUUUGUUAUUAAUCCUUUCUGUAUUUGGUGUUUAUAUUUCCCUCCUUUUUGGCUGUGUUUUGGCUGUUUUAACGUUGUUGAUUGAUGGCUAUGUUACUCAAAUUUAGGUGUGGAUGUGGAUAUGGGUGCAUUUGUUUUUUAGCUAAAGUUUUUCAUAUAUUUGAAGUAUCAUAACCUGUUUUGGUUUACAUUUUGAGGUGUUGAAUAUGUGCCCGACAUAGGUACUUUAGCGAAAAACAAAGGAUUUGAAGAAUCAUAGGUUUAUUAAGUUAACUUUAACUCGAGAGUUCAACAGGUUAGAGUUAAUAACGUCUCAUAAUGACGAAUGAGCUAUGCGCAGGUGUUAUUUCGUAUGAAAGUAGCUUAUUUAAUUCGUUAGUCUCAUUCGUUUUCUGCUUUGCAUGGACAUAACUAAUACUUUUUCUAUAAUUAUCAAAUACACUCAAUGUGCAUCAUGUUAGUUGUGAACGAUUCAAGAGGGGAAUUGCAAUGAUGAGUAUUAGUUUAUGCUGUUUUACAGCAUUUGCAAACCUUGAAUGAAGAACAGGGAUUUAAGAGCUUUUCUAUGUUACCUUAGCAGUUGGGUUAUAUUUAACAUUAAAAAGCUUCAAAGCCCUUAAAUUGUAUUACCAAGUUGUAACACAGUGUUGUUUGAUCUUACAGUGGUUACAUUAAUCUGAUUAUUAUGUAUAAAUAGGAUCCAUGUAGGUAAACAUAUCAUGGAGGCCGAAUUGCAUUUUGCCCCCUCUACUAAAAAAAUGAGUAAAAUAGUCUUUGUAUGUUAGGUUAAAUAGCAAACUAGACCUUUUGUUAAAAUUCCAUCCAUUUCUGUUGUUAAAAAUUGGUAUUUGUAUGUUAACAUGAGUUACACGUGGCAUGCCAUGUGUCACUGUCUGGUUAUACCAUCAACCGCGUCAGUUUUAACAAUAUAUAAAUGAUUGAAAUUUUUAAUAGAAAGGACCAAUUUGCUCUUUGUUCUAAGGUACAUGGAUUAAUUUGCCCAAUCUGACUCCUAGUACAAAAUCUCUAUGGUACUUUUACCGAUCCAUGUAUAAGUCUUCUUUGGGCAAAACUUGAUUGUUCAAUUGUUCAGGCUGAUGAACACUCUUGUCAGAUUUGUGUUUGCUAAUGCCAAUGUUAGUGCUAGCAGUUUUUGUUUGAACGUCAGCUUUCCCAUUUAAACCUUGAAAUUAUAUGAUUAUAACUUUUUAUUUCUUUGUACCAAUUCUUUUUUCUGUAGUGAUGAAUACACAGAAACAAGUAUUAUAUUUAGAGAGAGACACACAUAGGAGUGCAAUCUCGAUUUUGUUAUAGUUUUGAGUUAGUCUCAUUUGGAUUUUUCAUUGCAGGUAGUUGCAAUCAGGGAUAUAAUCCCGCCACCAAAGAGAGAAUGCUUUAAUGAUGUUUAUAUUGCAUAUGAGCUGAUGGAUACUGACUUGCAUCAGAUAAUCCGUUCAAAUCAAGCUUUAUCAGAAGAGCAUUGUCAGGUUCGAAUGUAAACAUUCAGUUGCUUUUUAUGUUAAGAAUUAUAUUCCUUAAAUCACUAGUUUAUAUUGUAUGUGAUGUCUAUAUUGCAUAUGAGAAGUUUGAAGUUUUAUGAAGUUGUGUAGAUUCUGCCUUGUUCUGAGGAACAAUGACCUUGGUUUUAGAUCGGAAUGAUUACUGAAAUUGAAAUGAUAACAAAAAACGAAAACGAAGACACGUAGUUUUCGACCCCUUUAUUUUCUUAGGUCUCUAGUUUAAGGCACCAAAGGCUUUGUACAUAGGAUUACGGUUGAUUCAAACAAUUUCGAAGGAAAGCAUUGCAAAAAGUAAAGCAACCUUCUUUCUAUUAAAUGAUAAUUUUAUUUAUUUGUAAUACGAAGUUCUAGUAAUUUUAAUCUUAUCAAAAUUUGAACUUGAAUAAUGAACAAAUGGCUAAAAGCAACACCAUUUCUAACAUAACUGGUCUCUAACUAAUGGCCUCUUUUUUGUGUUCUGCAGUAUUUUCUUUAUCAAAUCUUACGCGGGCUGAAGUAUAUACAUUCUGCAAAUGUUCUGCACAGGGACUUGAAACCUAGCAACCUUCUCUUGAAUGCUAAUUGUGACUUGAAAAUAUGUGAUUUUGGACUGGCUCGUGUCACCUCCGAAAGUGAUUUUAUGACAGAAUAUGUUGUUACAAGAUGGUAUCGUGCACCGGAACUGUUGCUAAACUCUUCAGAUUAUACUGCAGCUAUUGAUGUAUGGUCAGUAGGUUGCAUUUUUAUGGAAUUGAUGGAUCGGAAGCCAUUAUUUCCUGGACGAGAUCAUGUGCAUCAGCUGCGAUUGCUUAUUGAGGUAAAUUCUUUUUAUCCUCCAACCAGUAUAAAAUUUUCUGAAAUUCAAGCAAAUAAGUUGCUAAGUAGGUUCACACGAUAAACUAAUAAAAUGCUUGUAACGUUUCACCAUGAAUGAUUGACUCUUUGUGUGCAGCUGAUUGGCACCCCAUCAGAGGCUGAGUUGGGGUUUUUGAAUGCAAAUGCCAGGAGAUACAUCCAGCAACUUCCUCUUUAUCACCGACAAUCUUUCACCGAAAAGUUUCCAACCGUCCACCCCUUAGCUAUUGAUCUUGUUGAAAAGAUGUUGACAUUUGAUCCUAGACUAAGGAUUACCGGUGAGUUCUUAUACUUCUUCUUUUUCAAUUCUCUUAUGAAAGUUCGCCAAUGCAUGCAAAAUAGUCACCUUUUUUUAAGUUAAUUUUUUCUUGCCUCUAGCUUAUUCCAUCUUGCAAUUCUUUUCACUCUUGAGUUGGAAAUCAGGUAAAAGUACCAUGAGGCUCUUCUAUUCAAAAAAGGGGUAAAUUAGUCACUGUAUGUUAGAUCAAGAGUAAAUUGGUCAUUUCUGUUAAAAAUUGCAUCUUUUGUACUGUUAAAAACUAAGUUGACUGAUGGAAUAACCAGAUGUGACUUGACGGAAUAACCAGAUAUAGACAUGUGGUGUGCCACAUGUACCUUAUGAUGGCGUACAUGAACCAGUUUUUAACUGUAGAAAUAGAUGAAAUUUUUAAUAAAAAGACUAGUUUGCUCUUUGAUCUAAUGUAUAAGGGCUAAUUUGUCCAUUUUUUGAGUAGAGGAAGAAAAAUGCAAUCUGAGUCCUACUAUAGGGGCCUCCAUAGUAAUUUUACCUUGGAACUCAUGUACCAUGCUUCUGUAUAUGUUGCAGUUGAGGAUGCACUAGCUCAUCCUUACCUAUCAUCGCUGCAUGACCUAAGCGAUGAGCCUGUCUGCAUGACCCCAUUUAACUUCGACUUCGAGCAACAUGCAUUAACCGAGGAACAGAUGAAGGAGCUAAUAUAUCGAGAAGCGCUUGCAUUCAACCCGGAAUAUGUGCAACCGUGAUGAUUUACAUGCCAUCUAUUCUUCAAUCGGUGUGGUUAAAAAUGCUUUAUGAUUGGCUCCUUCCUGUAUAUAUGUUCCAUCCAUGACGGGAUGAAAUCUUGAAGGGAGGAUAACUCUAAUUAUUGGCAGAAUGCGGGAAACUAAAACAGUUCUGUUGGUGUUUUGUAAUGGCUCUCUUGAUUUCUUUUGUUGUUUAAUCCGAGCGCUGGAUAUGUAUUUAACAUGAAUAUAUUUAAUUCUUUUAAAGGCUUUUUGUUUACUUGAAGGAUCUUUGGAAAAUUAUACCUUUUACCCUUGUCGAAAAUUAAUAAUUUAAUUUAAUUAUUUUUAAUAUGAAAUUUGUUUCUAUUUGCUCUAUGGACGUUUGAAUCUGAGUAAGUUUUAUGGUUGAACAUUUGUAUCAAAUUAGAAAAAUAAAUGUAAAUUAUAUUUAAAGAUAUUAAACUAUUAAUAAGUUUAUAUUUUGAUAAUUUAACUUUAUAAAAUUACGAAAUAAUCAUUAAGUUAUUUGAAAGUUUUCAUUCAAGUCAUUGAACUAUUUGAAAGUUUUUAUUUAAAUCACUGUGUUAAAUUUUUUUUCCUUAAAAGUCCGAUUAAUAAGUUUCAAGUGACGAAUCAAAGACCGAUAUGGUGGAUCAGUAUCCAUCAACGAAUAGAAAAAUAUACUUUAGAUUCAAGUUGAUCUAACAAUCAAUGUCAAAAAUUAGAGGAAAAAGUUGUUUGAAUUUUAAUUUGCACCUUGGUAAUAUUCAAAAUUAUUUCAUAAAAAAAAUUAGGUUAGAAAAGAGAAGGGAAUGAAAACCUUCGAAUGGUGCAAGCAGUGUAAACAGGGAAUGCUAUGGUGACUUAUACAAAAACUUUCGAAUAGUUCAGCGACAAUUUUGUAACUUUUAGAAGUUAAAUGAUAAAAAGGUAAAUUUGUUAAUAGUUUUAGUGACUUUGGAUAUUCUUUACCCAAAAAUAAAAGCCUCAAACUCAACCGACAACAUCACCAGCAACCGCCACAGCAAAUAGCUGUUGGGUUGGAGAAUUCUCCGGUAAUUCUUAGACACGGUAAUAGGUUUCUUGGGUUUGAUAUAUACGGCAACAUAUUUGAGGUCACUGCUAAGUAUAAACCUCCUCUUGAACCCAUUGGUAUGGAGGGCUAUGGCAUUGUAUGGUAAACUCUUCUUCUGGUUCUGUGUUGAAUUCCGAGACAAAUGAAGAAGUGGCAUUGAAGAAGCUAGCGAAUGCAUUUGAUAACCUAAUUUAUGCAAAGAGAAUUCUUCGUGAGAUCAAGAUGCUUCUUCAAAUGGACCAUGAAAACGUGUGGAUAAACACACACCAACACUAAAGCGCUGUUAGGAUCAGUAUUUGAUUAUAACUUGUCCUUUCUUUGUCCUGAUUCUUUUUUCUCUAGUGAUGGAUACACAAAAACCUUGAGAGAGACACAUGUAGAGAGAGCAAUAUCUCUUUUGUUAUCAUUCUGAGUUAGUCUCAUUUGCAUCUUUCAUUACAGGUAAUUGCGAUCAGGGAUAUAAUCCCACCACCCAGAAUAGAAUGCUUUAAUGAUGUUUAUAUUGCUUAUGAGCUGAUGGACAUUGACCUGCAUCAGGUAAUCCAUUCUAGUCAAGCUUUAUCAGAAGAGCAUUGUCAGGUUCGAAUGUAGACAUUUGGUUGCUUUUUAUGAAGUUGUGUAUACUCUGCCUGGUUCUGAGGAACAGUGACCUUAGUUUAUGCUGGAUAUUUUGUGUUUCUGCCGUAUUUCCUCUAUCAAAUUUUACGUGGGCUGAAGUAUAUACACUCUGCAAAUGUUCUUCACAGGGACUUGAAGCCUAGCAACCUUCUCUUGAAUGCUAAUUGUGACCUGAAAAUAUGUGAUUAUGGAAUGGCUCGUGUCACCUCCGAAAGUUGUUUUAUGACAGAAUAUGUUGGUACAAGAUGGCAUCGUGCACCUGAAACUGUUGCUGAACUCUUCAAUUAUAGUGCAGCGGUUGAUGUAUGGUCAGUGGGUUGCAUUUUUAUGGAACUGAUGGAUCGGAAGCCAUUAUUUCCUGGAGGAGAUGAUGUGCAUCAGCUGCGAUUGCUUUUGGAGGUAAACUCUUUUUAUCCUCCAACUAGUAUGAAACUAUCUUAAAAACAUAUAAGUUGCUAAGUAGGGUCACAUGAGUAUUUUAGAGAAAAGAAAAUAGACGUAAUUUCAAAUUUAACCCUUUAUAUUUGCAACUUUUGUUAAUUUGACCCUUAUUCUUUUUUUUAUAGUUAAAUUUGACCAUCAAAUUUUAAAUAAAAUUAUUAUAUAAAAAAAUAUGAUAAAUGCCUAAUAAGAUAAAUGUUAAAAAAAAAAAACUAAAUUCAACUCAAAACAUCCUGUUCGAUGGGCCCAUGCUACCCUUCACCUCACAUUUUCCGAGCUUUUCUUUUUAGGUUUAUUUGAAAGAUUUUUUUUAAAAAUAUUGUAAGGACUAGAUUAAAUUAAUCAAUUUAUUAUUGAAUAGAUCAAUUUAGCCUCUAUACUAUUAAAAAAAAUAGAAUAAGUUUAAAUUGUAAUAAAGUUAACAUUUACUAUAUAAAAAAUAUUUUCAAAAAUAUUUUUUCAAUUACAGUUCAAUUCAAAACAAAAUAUUUUAUCUACAGAACUAUAAAAACCUCAAAAAUAUUAAUAAUGUUAAACAAUAAAUAUUAACUCUAUUCUAAUUUAAUAUUAUUUGAUUUUUUUUAAUAAUUCAAGGACUAAAUUGAUUCAUUUAAUAAUAGAGAUACUAAUUUCAUCAAAUUCUUAUAAUUGAGAGACCUCUUAAAUACAAUUACCCUUUUAUUAAUAACAAAGGGAUAAUAUCCAAUCCCAUAUUUCUCAAUAUUUAAUCAUUUAACGACAAACGUCAACCAUAAGACAAUAUAAACUCGGACUUACGAACACUCAAUACACAUACACACAUACAUGCAUACCAUUAAGUCUUCAGACAGGACCUCAUCAGCUUGUUGAGCUCUUCUUUUUCUUAUCAUAAGACAAUAUAAACUCAGACUUACGAACACUCAAUACACAUACAUACAUACAUACAUACAUACCAUUAAGUCUUCAGACAAGACCUCAUCAGCUUGUUGAGCUCUUAUUUUUUGUUGAUUUGCUCUUCUUUUUCUUCUUUCUUCUAGAUUUUGACUUCAAUAUUCUUGAUCCUUUCUCUUCAUCAUCGCUACUCGAAGAUUCUGAGGAUGAUGAUGAAUCAGAGUCAGAAGA